rnacentral:lncRNA from 1 species
AGCAUACUUCCAAUUUUAUUAUUAUGGAGAAAUUAGAUUUAUCAAAAUAAAAAAAUAAACUAAACCAUAAAUGGUUCAUACCUCUUAUCCUCCACGGGGGUUGAAGCGAAGAACAUUUUUAAAGUUUGGAUGGUCAUCCCACUCCAACGAUUCCCACCAUUCUUUCCUUGACUUGAUGGUAAGAGAAGGUGGAGCAUAUGCAAAUGGCUGCCCAUUGCCAACAAAGGGAACAAAUGGAGGAAUUCUCUUUAGUUUAUCACACUUAUCAACACUGAUAAGCUCGAGAGAAUCACAAACCAUCACUCCACAUUUGCUGCAUAUGCUCUUCAAAUUUGGUAAUCUCCACAAUACCAGCUUUCUCAAUUUGGGAAGAUGGAAUUUGAUUAAUGCAUCACUCCCUUUUUCUUCAACUUCUGAUGUUGCUGCUCCCAAUAUUUCUACUAGCUGACUACAAGCACCCACAAAUAUUUCUUCCAGGUUUUGGAGGUUUGGAAGCAACCAAGGUGGAAGCAACGUCUUCAUACUUGAGCAGUUCGCUAUCAUAAUUUCCUUGAGUUGGAAGACGGAGCCACUGUUGAUGUUGUUGCUGAACCAAUUCCUGCAUCUUUCAUAAUAAGGGCACUCAACUUUGGCAGAAUUUGAAGAUCCAACACCUCGAGGCUCUGAAAUGGAUGAGCGGAAGAAGAGGCAAAAGAGAACAAGGAAACAACACACUUUAUCCCUUUACAAUCAUAAAUCCUACAAACCCUCAAGUCAAUCGCAUUUUUGAAGGAAGAAUUAUCAUCGACUAAGUUUCUCAAAUAGUCGCACCUUGAAAUAUUAAACUCUCGAAUUUCAUAUGGGUGCAUAAUUAACUCACCUUCCCAAUUCUGGACUCCUCCAAUUUGUUGAAUUUAGUUCCCAUGCAAGACAUGCAAAGGUGGCCAUGCAAGGAGAAGUGGCAGCAAGCAGUCGAGCUAUGAAGUGCAGAAACUGGAGCUUGAAGUUGCCUAACUACUUGUUAUGUUUUGAUUGUAUUUUUUAAUUAUUAUUAUUUUGUAAUCUAGUUUAUGUUGAACUAAGUUGGUAAACCUUAUGAUGUGUUUUUUUUGAUUGAUUGACUGAAAAAUCAGCAAAGAAACUUAAGCAAGCUGAUUAACAAUUUCCAAUGUAAAUUUAGUGGUGUUAGGUAUGUCAUUAGGUAAAGACUUGUUCAUUUUGUUGUUGUUAUCUAUUAUAUGUAAUGGCAUUAUGCCUUCUGGAUCAGUUAAUGAAAAUAUCAGCUCUUUUCAUUCAAAAUACUCUCUCUCAAUUUCUUUUGUUUUCCAUUCGCAUGUGUUUCUGUUCUUGCUUCUGAGUUUGUUUCUUCAGCAAGGCUCGAGGCUUGCUAUACAAGCAAGAUUGAAAAUAGUCUGUUGUUGUCUCUUUGCACCAACAAUUGGUAUCUAGAGCUUCAUUCUUAGUGGACCUGUUUUAUCAAACUAAGAAAGCUGAAUGUCUUCCUCAAGUUUUUCACCAGCAGCCCCACCAGUCUUCAAUGGAGAAGGCUUCCACAUAUGGUUGGUCAAGAUGAAGACUUACCUACAGGCCUUUGAUCUGUGGGAAGUUGUCAACACAGAUGCUGAGCCAGCACCACUGAGGGCCAAUCCCACAGUAGCUCAGAUUAGGCAACAUGCUGAUGAGAGGACCAAAAGGCACAAAGCCAUGUCCUGCAUUCAGAAUUGUGUGUCAGAUGUCAUCUUCACCAGAAUUAUGGCCUGUGAGACUCCAAAACAGGCACGGGAUAAGCUUAAGGAGGAGUUUCAAGGCACUGAGAGAAUAAGGCAACAGCAGCUAUUGAAUUUGAGAAGGGAUUUUGAGAACCUGAAGAUGAAGGAAGAAGAAACAGUGAAGCAGUAUGUAGAUAGAAUCAUGGCAGUGGUUAACAGUAUAAGGCUCCUUGGUGAGCACUUUGAUGAGGCAAGGAUAGUAGAGAAAGUUCUCUCCACUUUGCCUGAGAGAUAUGAGGCCAAGAUAUCCUCUCUUGAGGACUCAAGAAACCUUGCUACCAUCUCUUUGACUGAGCUAAUCAACACUUUCUAUGCUCAAGAACAAAGGAGAGCUAGCAGAGCUGAAGACCACCAGGAAGGUGCAUUCAAUGCUAAGGCCAGAGAAGCCUCGAGCAUCAAUGCUCCAAGAGGUAAAAAGCCUUGAAAAAGCAGGCCUAAGCCUGAUACUGCAAGGAGCAAUGACCAGCCCUGCAGACAUUGCAAGAGGCCAGGUCAUCCAGAAGACAGAUGCUGGUUCAGGCCAGAUGUAGUAUGCCAACACUGCAAGAAGAAAGGCCAUGUUGAAAGGGUUUGCAAAAAUAGAACCAAGUCAAGGCAGAGUCAAUUUCAACAACCAAAGGUUGAAGCUCGAGUAGCUGAGGACAGUAGUGAUCAAGAAGAGCAGGUCUUUGCUGUUUCUUGCUUAGUUGCUGAGAAGAAAUGCUCAAAAGGCUGGUUAUUGGACAGUGGUUGCACUAACCACAUGUCACCAGAUGCCUCCUUAUUUAAAACCUUAGAUAGAAGUUGCAAAACCAAGGUCAAGGUUGGAAAUGGUCAGUUCAUAAGGGCUGAAGGAAGAGGAAAGGUGCUGAUAUGUACCCCCACAGGCAACAAGAUCAUUCCAAAUGUGCUGUUAGUGCCAGAAAUCGACAGAAACCUUCUCAGCAUAGCUCAAUUGCUCGAGAAAGGCUAUUCUGUUGUGUUCAAGAACAAACAGUGCCACAUUGCUGAUCCAAGUGGAUCAAGCCUUAUGACAGUCACAAUGACUGACAAAUGCUUUGAGGUACACUGGCCAAAUGACUCAAAGUCUGCAUAUACAGCCUCUGUUGAUGAUUCCAAGCUUUGGCAUCAAAGGCUUGGGCAUGCCAACUUUAGAUCAUUGGCUCGAAUGGCCAAAGAAGGCUUGGCAGAGAACUUUACUAGCUUAGUGGAGCAUUAUGAUGUGUGUGAAGUUUGCCAGAUGGGGAAACAGGCAAGACUGCCAUUUCCUACAAAUUCAGCUUGGAGAGCUACUGAAAAACUGCAGCUGGUGCACUCUGAUGUAUGUGGCCCGAUGAGGACUGAAUCACUCAGCAAAAAUAGGUAUUUCAUCCUCUUCAUUGAUGGUUUUACAAGGUUUUGCUGGAUUUUCUUCUUAAAACACAAGUCUGAGGUAGCUCAAGUGUUUGUGAAGUUUAAAACUGCUGUAGAGACAGAAACAGGUUGCAAGCUGAAAUCGAUAAGGUCAGACAAUGGCACUGAGUACACUUCAGCUCAGUUUCAAGCCAUUUGCAAUGAUGCUGGUAUCAAACACCAGCUUACAAAUGUCUACACACCUCAGCAGAAUGGGGUAUCAGAAAGAAAGAACAGAAGCUUGAUGGAUAUGGCCAGGUGCCUGCUGUUUGAGAAGAAACUGCCCAAGACCAUGUGGGCUGAGGCAGUAAACUCUGCUGUCUACCUUCAAAAUAGGCUUCCUACCAAAGCUCUUGCAUCCAAAACACCUUUCGAGGCUUGGUCCGGUUUCAAGCCUUCCUUGGCACAUCUGAAGGUGUUUGGUUGCCUGUGUUAUGCACAAAUACCAGCAGCUAAGAGAGACAAGCUCUCUGAAAGGGCUCAACCAGGUGUUCUAGUAGGCUAUAGCUCAGUUAAGAAGGGCUAUAGGGUGCUGGAUCCUUUGACAAACAUAGUUCAAGUGAGCAGAGAUGUCAUCUUCGAUGAGAAGGCUUGCUGGAAUUGGGAAAAGAAUGAACCAGAAGCUGCUUCAGAAGACCUGGUGCCUAAUCAAGCUGAACUUGAGCAGCUAGGACCUGAAAUGGAUGUUGAUGAUGUGCCUGUGAGAGGCACAAGGCCCCUAGAUGAUAUUUAUGAAAGGGCACAGGUUGCAAUAGCAGAACCUAGCAGUUUUGAAGAGGCUGAGGCAGAUGAAGGCUGGAAACUAGCUAUGGUCGAUGAAAUCAACAUGAUUGAGAAGAACCAGACAUGGGAGCUAGUUGAUAAACCUACUGGAAAGAAGACCAUUGGAGUAAAAUGGGUCUAUCGAGCAAAACAGAAUGCAGAUGGCAGUCUGAACAAGCUAAAAGCCAGGCUUGUUGUCAAAUGUUUUAGCCAAAGGUAUGGUCUGGACUAUCUGGAGACAUUUGCACCAGUAGCCAGGCUUGACACAGUUAGAAUGAUAGUUGCCUUGGCUGCUCAACAUCAGUGGACCAUUCAUCAGCUUGAUGUUAAGUCUGCAUUUCUCAAUGGUUUCCUGGAAGAAGAGAUCUACAUCAAACAACCUCAAGGAUUUGUGGUCACUGGUAAAGAACACAAGGUGUACAGACUGAAAAAGGCUUUGUAUGGCCUGAAACAGGCUCCUUGAGCCUGGUAUGCUCGAAUUGAUUCUUACUUGCUCAGUUUGGAAUUCGAGAGAAGUCGCAGUGAACCAACACUGUAUGUGAAGAAGAACCAAGCUGAAACUCAACUUAUCCUGUCACUCUAUGUUGAUGAUUUAUUGGUGACUGGAGGAGAUAGAAGAAUGCUGGAAGAUUUCAAAAGAAAAAUGAUGGAAAUGUUUGAAAUGUCUGAUUUAGGCAGAAUGAACUACUUCCUUGGAAUGGAAGUGAAGCAAACAGCAAAGGGAAUCUUUCUUAGUUAGAGUUCUUUUACUAUGAAGAUCCUGGAUAAGUUCUCUAUGAAGAACUACAAGCCAACAAGCACACCAAUGGUUGUUGGAGUGAAGCUUUCGAGGCAAGGGAGUGGUGAACCAAUUUGCGAGACUAUGUACAAAAGUCUCAUUGGUAGUCUGUUGUAUUUGACUGCAACAAGACCCGAUAUCAUGUUUGCUGUUAGUGUGCUAUCCAGAUACAUGAAUUGCUGCAAUGAUCAGCACUUUCAAGCAGCUAAAAGAGUGCUUAGAUACAUCAAAGGCACCAUUGAUCAUGGUGUAUUGUUCAAAAGGGCUGAAAACAUGAAGCUGAUAGGCUAUGUUGAUAGUGACUGGGCUGGAUCUUGUGAUGACAUGAGAAGCACAUCUGGAUAUGCCUUUAGUCUUGGCUCAGGCAUGUUUUGCUGGAGUUUUAAAAAGAAAAUUCUGGUAGCACAGUCAACAGCAGAAGCUGAAUAUGUUGCUGCUGCAUCUGCUGUAAAUCAAGCCAUAUGGCUUAGAAAAAUCCUAGCUGAUUUAAAUCAAAAUCAAGGAAAUGCAACAGAGAUUUACUGUGAAAACAAAUCUGCUGUUGCAAUUGCAAAGAAUCCUAUCUUUCAUGGUAGAACAAAGCACUUCAACAUCAAGCUACAUGUCAUAAGGGAGAUGGAGCAAGCUCAUGAAAUCGAGCUGGUUCAUUGCAAUUCAGAAGAGCAAAUUGCUGAUAUCUUUACAAAGGCACUCAAUGUGUCUAAAUUUGUUAAAUUAAGAAGGCAAUUAGGUGUCACUAGCAUGGAAACUAAGGAGGAGUGUUGAAUUUAGUUCCCAUGCAAGACAUGCAAAGGUGGCCAUGCAAGGAGAAGUGGCAGCAAGCAGUCGAGCUAUGAAGUGCAGAAAUUAGAGCUUGAAGUUUCCUAACUACUUGUUAUGUUUUGAUUGUAUUUUUUAAUUAUUAUUAUUUUGUAAUCUAGUUCAUGUUGAACUAAGUUGGUAAACCUUAUGAUGUGUUUUUGUUGAUUGAUUGACUAAAAAAUCAGCAAAGAAACUUAAGCAAGCUGAUUAACAAUUUCCAAUGUAAAUUUAGUGGUGUUAGGUAUGUCAUUAGGUAAAGACUUGUUCAUUUUGUUGUUGUUAUCUAUUAUAUGUAAUGGCAUUAUGCCUUCUGGAUCAGUUAAUGAAAAUAUCAGCUCUUUUCAUUCAAAAUACUCUCUCUCAAUUUCUUUUGUUUUCCAUUCGCAUGUGUUUCUGUUCUUGCUUCUGAGUUUGUUUCUUCAGCAAGGCUCGAGGCUUGCUAUACACGCAAGAUUGAAAACAGUCUGUUGUUGUCUCUUUGCACCAACAUAAUUGUUACUGUUUUCUCCCUUCCACGACCCAUAUCAUCUGAGCUCACCUGUAAAUGGUACUUGAUGAGAUUUUUCUUACUUUGCUGCAUUGAGGAGAUGAACUUAUUCAAUUCACCGAUGUCUUUGAAACGUCCGGUAAAGCACUCCAACUUCUUCAAUGGUUCCAUCUCCUCUGCUUUUAGACUUGUUUUUUCAUUGCUCUCUUGAAAACCCAAGUGCUGAAGGUGAACAAGUUUUGGUAAAAGUCCAGCGGGUAUCUCUUUCAGAGUGCGCACUCUAAGAUCAAGAUAUCUUAGCUUUAUCAGCAUAUCCAUUCCUUCAGGGACUUCCUCAAUUUUAGUCCCACAAAGAUCCAACUUCUUCAAUUCUUGAAGCGUAGAAAGACAUGGCAGAUCUCUUAAAUCAAAACAGCCACCAAGCAACAAUGUUGUGAGGUUCUUUAGUUCAGAGAUGGAAUUUGGUAAACUUUUGAUCUUCGUAGAGGAAAAAUUGAGAACACUAAGACAAGGCAUGUUUGUGAAGAAAGAAUAUGGGAUCUUCUUUAUAGGGUUAUCCUGCAAUAACAAGGUUGUGAGCAGUUGGCAUUUUGUGGGUAGCACAUCUAUGGAAAUUUCUGGUAUGGAGUUAAACAUAAGCGACACUUUCUCAAUAUCUGGACUCCAUUGCUCCUCUUUUGGUAACUCCUCUAAUUGCAAACCUGCUUGUAUCAUAUAUCGAGGAUUCAUUCUUGUGAUCGACAAUGCCAUGUCUCUCACUGCAUCAUGCAUCUUUAUACGAUGUAAACCAAAUUUAGUGGUAAUAUUUUCCAACAAGCAAUUAUCUUCUAACUUCUUCAAAAUAACAUGGCCCUUUUCUUUCAUUUCUUGUCUUGUACCCAUAUCAUCUAUGAAUCCCUCCUCAAUCCAGCACUCAAUUAGCUUAUCUUUUCCAAUUUCAUAAUCUUCAGGAUAUAAUGUGCAAUGUAAGAAACAAUGCUUCAUUUUCUCGUCUUUUAAGUGAUUGAAGCUAACUUUCAAACUCUCGAUCACUUUAUCUUCCCCUUCUUUCACUUUCCCUAUUCUCUCUUUCAAUUCCCUGAGUGUGUUUUUCCUAAUAAGAGGGUCAUCUUCUCCUCUCAAUGUACCAGCCAUGACGACAAUUGUAAGAGGCAGACCUGCACAUUCCUUGACAACAAGCUUCAAAGUUGGCAUUAAAGUUUGAUUUUGCACUAUGUUAGGUCCAACUUCACUCAAGAAUAGUAUCAAUGCCUCUUCUUCUGAAAGGGGCUUCACUUUUAUCACCUUACAGCCCAUAGACUUACAAACUUGCUCCACACGGGUUGUCAACACCAACUUGUACCCAUUGCUGCUACUUGGCUUAGGGAUCCCAAUUUCUUCCAACGAGACUUCAAUCCACACAUCAUCUAGGAUUAGAACAUGCUUUCCUGCUCUCUUCAGCAUUUCGGACAAGAUUGCUGCUCGUCUGACCUUGUUUGCUUCUUCAGGAAUCUUUCCAUUCAAUGCACUUAAAGUUAGAAGAAAGCAUACAAUGCAUUGUUAAACAUAAAAGAGUGUGAGCUUUUUCAAGCUCAGUGAGUGUUUAGAGAUUGCCACAAGUAAUCACAAUAUCCAAAGUUAGAAGAAAGCAUACAAUCACAAUUAAUCAUGGUGAGCAAUAAAGCAUAAUUCAUAGCAUUCACAAUAUUAAUAUGUUGCUACAAUGUGAUUACGAAGCAUAUGUACAAAAUAUAUAAUAAAAUAUUUUAUCAACAUAUAAAAUCAACAAGACUCAUAUCAUAUUCAGUCAUAAACACAUAACAUUUUUAUUGUCAUCUCAAUAUACAACACAUAACAUAUCACAUUUAAGCAUCAUUUGCAAAUCAUCAUUAGUUUAGGUAGAAACACUUACUCUUGAAAAUUGGAUGGUGUGGAUGUGUUUGGAUAGCUAGAAAAUCAUUAAGGAUGAGUUAAUUUUGAGAGAAAAUAUUAGAGUUGAAUUUGGGGAAAUUUUGAAUGUGAAAUUCAAUGGAGGGUACGGACGUCGGGUUCUUAAAGAAACGGGGAAGAUGAGUAGUUUUUUUUUAAAUAAGGAAAAAUUGCAUUUUAAAAACUUCCAGUUUUUCUUUAUUUUUCAAUUUAGACCUUAGCUUAAUUAAAACACAUUUUUCUCAAUUAUUUUCAAACCCGAUAUUUUAAAAAAAAUUCAUUUUAACCAAAUUAAUUCCCGAACACUCAAUUUUAAUUUCUUAAAAUAAAAUUAUUAAUGAUAUUAAUUUUAUUAUUUUAUUUAAUUACUUUCUGAUUAUUUUAAUGAUCUAACUUAAUUACGAUUUUUGAUUCACUAACCCCCGAUUUACUAUCCCGAUUUUUGGGAUGUGACAUGACAACAUUAUGUAAAUAUGAUAUAAUAAUAAUCACUGAUAGCAUACAAAUAAAUUAUUGAUUACAUACCCUAUUGUAUAAACUAAAAUAUAUUUAUACUACAAGUUCUAUAAUAUGAUAUCUAAAUGGGUUAAUUUUUAAAAUUGCAUAUUUUAAAAUUAAAAAAAAUUAUAGAAAUGUUAAUUUAUAAUUAUUUCUAACUUAUGUGCUUUUCAAUGUUAAAACUUUUACUAGAAUUAUUAGUAAAAAAUGCAUGAAUGAUUGAUAGCAUAAUCAUUUUAAAGACAUAAUUAUAAAUUAAUUAUAUAAAAAGGGUAAACACUUCGUAACAUAGUAAUAAAUAAUUUAUAAUACAUGAAUAAAUUAUGGAUAAAAUAAUAAGAAAUAAUAUAGUAUAAAAUUAAAUAAAUAAUAAUAUAAUAUAGUAAUAAAAUUUAUAAAUAAAUUUUUUAAUUAAGUAGAUAAUUUUAUAAAUAUCAGUGCAAAACGUCGAAAUCAUUAGGUUUCAUUGUAUCCUCGAGGUCAAUUUCCGAGUAACUCUUUUGCACAGCAAUAAAUAGGUGGGGGCAAAUAGAACUUUAAAAUAGUGACAUUGAUACACACAUUGGAACCUUUUUUAAUUUCUCAUAAAUUUAUUUUUAUCUCCGCACAGUAAUAGUUAUGGAAACAAUUAUCAAAGAAAACAAAAAAUAUUAUGAGUAAAUUUUUAUGGUCUUCGGGGCAACUUUCGUUUUUAUGUUCCACAAAGGUAAUGUAAAUUCGAUAUUAAUGUUUUCAAAAUUGUAUUUUUUUUAUCACUCGACUAUUUAGUGACACUUUUUUAAUUAGUAUAAUAACAAUUUUAGUCCUCAAAUUUUCUACUUUCAGUCAAUUUAAUCUUGAUAAUAUAUAAAAUGGUAAAAAUUUGAAAUUAUUUUUAAAAUUUUAGAAAAUUAUAAAAUAAAAAAUUAAAUAAAAGUAGAUAAAAAUUUUAAAAAUAAAUAAAGUGAGAGAAAAUGAGGGAUAAUUGUUUUUAAACCCUCCAGAAUUUCUCUACAUUGUAUGUAUUGAAAAUUAAAGAAUUUAUAGUACUUUCCUAACUUUUAUUGUAAAUAAAAGCAAGAUCAUAGUUUUGCCUCACCUUAAAUCAUUUUGAUUAAUAUAUGUUUAUAUUUUAUUUAAAUAUUAAUAAAAAUAAAAUAUAUUUUAAUUUUUAAUACCAUUUAAGUUUUAAUACUUUUUCAAGCCUAGGCCGGUUUUCGGCCUAACUUGGUUGAUCCCAAAAUUCUACAUUACUGUGCAAGAAUAUUUUAAAAAAUAAUUUUAUAUUAAUAUUUAUAUAUUUUUAUAAUUAAAUUAAGUUUUAAAAAUAUUUUAUAUUAUUUAAAUUGAAUUCGAGUUGGACCGACUCAAGACAUGGAGAGAUUUAUAGCCAUCUUCUAUUGUGUAUAUAUAUUUUUAUAUAAAAUUUAAAAUUUAUUAAAAUUUACAAAAUAAUAGACUAGUGUUGAAUGUGGUAAAAGACCAUAAUAAUAUUUGAUUCGAUAUCAUAUCAAAAUAAGUUUAUAACUUAAAUGUUUUAAUUAUAAAUAUGAAUAUAUUAGAGAAGAAUAAGAGAAUAGAAGGAAUGGUAAGAGAGGGACAAUGUUUAAAAAGUGUAGGCACUUUGAUUUCUUUAUUUAUUUGUGCUCUUAACCUCUUCCUUCCAUCAUUCCUGUUCUCCUCUCUUAUCCUCAAAAGGGGUUGAAGCGAAGAACAUUUUUUAAGUUUGGAUGGUCAUCCCACUCCAACCAUUCCCACCAUUCUGUGCUUGACCUGAUGGUAAGAGAAGGUGGAGCAUAUGCAAAUGGCUGCCCAUUGCCAACAAGGGGAACAAAUGGAGGAAUUCUCUUCAGUUUAUCACAUCUAGUAAUAUGGAUAAGUUGGAGAGAAUCACAAACCAUCACUCCACUUUUGCUGCAUAUGCUCUUCAAAUUUGGUAAUCUCCACAAUUCCACCUCUCCCAAUUUGGGAAGAUGGAAUUUGAUUAAUGCAUCACUCCCUUUUUCUUCAACUUCUGAUGUUGCUGCUCCCAAUAUUUCUACUAGCUGACUACAAGCACCCACAUGUAUUUCUUCCAGGUUUUGGAGGUUUGGAAGCAACCAAUGUGGAAGCAACGUCUUCAUACUUGAGCAUCUCUGUAAAUAAAAUUUCUUAAGAUGGGAAAAGGUGGUAGACGGAGCAAAUGUUGAUGUUGUUGCUGAACCAAUUCCUGCAUCAUUCAUAAUAAGGGCACUCAACUUUGGCAGAUGUUGAAGAUCCAAUAUCUCGACGCUCUGAAAUGGAUGAGCGGAAGAAGAGGCCAAAGAGGACAAGGAAACAACACACUCUAUCCCUUUACAUUCAUAAAUCCUCAACUCAAUCGCAUUUUUCAGGGAAGAAUUAUCAUCGACUAUGUUUCUCAAAUAGUCGCACUUUAUAAUAUUCAAGUGUUGAUUUUCAAUUGGGUGCGUAAUUAACUCACCUUCCCAAUUCUGGACUCCUCCAAUUGUUACUGUUUUAUCUCUUGCAGUAGGCAUAAAAGAUGAGCCCACCUGUAAAUAGUACUUGAUGAGAUUUUUCUUACUUUGUUGCAUCGAGGCGAUGAACUUAUUGAAUUCAUUGAUGUCUUCGAAACGUCCGGUAAAGCACUCCAACUUCUUCAAUGGUUCCAUCUCCUCUGCUUUUAGACUUGUUUUUUCAUUGUACACAUCAAAACUCAAGUGUUGAAGGUGAACGAGUUUUGGUAAAAGUCCAGCGGGUAUCUCUUUCAGAGUGAACACUUGAAGAUCAAGAUAUCUUAGCUUUAUCAAUAAAUCCAUGCCUUCAGGGACUUCCUCAAUUUCUGUCCAACAAAGAUCUAACUUCUUCAAUUCUUGAAGCAUCGAAAGACAUGUUGGAAUAUUUUCAAAUAUUUAUAGUAUCCCAAUAACUAUAAAUGAAUGGGUGUAAUUAAUCAAAAGAUAAAACUUUUGGUCAUUGGUCAAAAGUUAUAUCAUUUGAUUUUUUAAAAAAGAAUUAUAACUAUUCAAAAGAUAUUAUUUGAAUAGUUACAAAAUUAAAUGAAUAAUUAUUAUUAUUAUUUAUUUAUUCAUAAAGACACCUAUUGAAAGAUGUCUCUAUGAAGAGACAUGAAAAUUCCUAUAAAUAGGAAUGGGAUUUCAUUUGGAAAUGAUAUCAACAAAUUCUAAUAUUAUUUCUUCUCUUCCUUCAUUUUCUAAUAUUAUUAGAUUAUUCUAUAAAGUAUUGCUGCAGAAAUCCUUUGUAGAAAUUGAGUUUUUGUUAUACAUUACUCAGUGCAUAGUGGACUAUUCUCGUCAGUGCAAAACGCAAAUAGUCAUUGGCUUCAUUGUAUCCUCGAGGUUAAUUUGCUUGGAACUCGUUUGCACACUGAAGAUAAGUGAGGGCGAAUAUAACCUUAAAGAUAGUGGCUUGAUACACGCCUUGGAGCCUGUCCUAUUUCUUCUUUUUCUUUUCGAGUUCCGAUCGUGUGUUCGAGUUUUUUUUCCUUACCGGAGUUUUGUACUAACAAUUUUAAGGUUAUAUUUCAUGAUGACUACCACAACACAUGAAAGUGGAACACUAAGGGAGUUGGCUUCCAACUUUGUUAAACUUGAUCGUUUUGAUGGUGGCAAUUUUCGACGAUGGCAGAAAAAGAUGCACUUUUUGUUAUCAACUUUGAAGAUUGCUUAUGUUUUGGAUACUCCAAGACCUGAAGAGAAUGAAAAUGAAUCUGUUGCUGUAACCCGAGAAAGACAAAAAUGGGACAAUGCUGAUUACAUGUGCAUGGGCCACAUAUUGAAUGGUUUAACUGAUGGUUUGUUCGACACCUACCAAAACGACGUCACCGCUAAAGAAUUAUGGGACAAAUUGGAGGCAAGAUACAUGAUUGAAGAUGUUACAAGUAAGAAAUUUCUUGUCAGUCGUUUCAAUAAUUAUCAAAUGGUUGAUGGUCGUUCUGUUAUGGAACAAUUUCGUGAUAUUGAAAAGAUGCUGAAUCAAUUUAAGCAAUAUGAUAUGAAAAUGGAUGAAAUGAUUGUGGUAUCCUCCAUAAUAGACAAACUUCCUCCAUCUUGGAAAGACUUUAAAAGAAGUCUAAAACAUAAGAAAGAUGAAAUAUCUCUUGAGGCUUUGGCAAAUCAUUUUCGUAUUGAAGAAGAGUAUCGAAAACAAGAUCAGAACCUAAAUUCUGAAAAUGCCAAAGUACAUGUUACGGAGGAAGUACAGACUACUAAACCAUUCAAGAGAAAGUUCAAUCAGACUGAUAGAGCACCUAAGUUCAAAAAGAAACAAAAGGGCUCAUGCUAUCAUUGUGGAAAGCCGGGACAUUUCAAGAAUGAAUGUCGAUUUUUAAAGAAGAAAUCAUUUUCUAAGGCUGAUAAUAACGAAAAGUUCGUUGCAAUGAUAUCUGAAAUUAAUAUGGCACAAGAUGAUAAUACAUGGUGGAUUGAUACCGGAGCAACCAAACAUGUGUGCAAAGACAAAAGCAUGUUCACAAAGUUUACACAAUGUGAAAAUGACAAUGUCUUGUACAUGGGAAAUUCUUCCACCGCAACAAUUAAAGGCAAAGGGUCUGUUGAACUACAAUUCACUUCUGGAAAGGUUUUAACCUUAAAUGAUGUAUAUUAUGUACCAGAAGUUAGGAAAAAUUUAGUGUCUGGAAGUCUGUUGAAUAAGUUUGGUUUCAAACUUGUUUUUGAGGCAGAUAAGUUUAUUUUGUCUAAGGGAGGAAUUUUUGUGGGAAAAGGGUAUAUGUAUGAAAGCAUGUUCAAACUUAAUAUUAUUAAUAAGAAUAAAAAUACUAUUUCUGCUUAUAUGGUUGAAUCAUUUUGUUUGUGGCAUUAUAGAUUAGGUCAUUUGAAUUAUAGAAAAUUGAAUGACAUGUAUAAAUUAGAUUUAAUUCCUGUUUUUAAUAAUAAUAUUGAAAAAUGCAAUACCUGUAUGUUGACUAAAAUUACAAGAAAUCCUUUCCCUAAGGUUAAAAGGAAAACAAAAUUGCUUGAUUUGAUACAUAGUGAUUUAUGUGACUUGCAUAAUACUCCUACAUUAGGUGGAAAGAAAUAUUUUGUUACUUUUAUUGAUGAUUGUUCUAGAUAUUGUUAUGUAUAUUUAUUGCAUUCAAAAGAUGAAGCGCUUGAUAAAUUUAAAGUUUAUAAAUCUGAAGUUGAACUUCAGUGUGAAUCAUUUAUCAAGUGCUUAAGAUCGGAUAGAGGUGGAGAAUACUAUAAUCCAAGUUAUUUUGAACUCACUGGAAUUGUCCAUCAAGUUUCAGCCCCUUACACACCACAACAAAAUGGUGUAGCUGAAAGGAAAAAUAGAGUCUUGAUUGAAAUGGUAAAUUCAAUGUUAUCAUAUUCAGGUCUUGGACAGGGUUUUUGGGGAGAAGCUGUUCUAACAGCUUGUCAUAUAUUGAAUAGAGUUCCUAAUAAGGAAACUAAAAUAACCCCCUAUGAACAAUGGAAGAAAAGGAAACCAAACCUUAAUUAUUUAAAGGUUUGGGGUUGUAGAGCUAUUGUAAAAGUUCCAACACCUAAACGUAAAAAGUUAGGUGAAAGAGGAAUUGAAUGCAUAUUUAUAGGUUAUGCACAUAAUAGCAAGGCAUAUAGGUUCAUAGUAAUUGAACCAAAUGAUUCAAUUUCAAUUAAUACGGUUAUUGAAUCAAGAGAUACUAUUUUUGAUGAAAAUAGAUUUAAUUCUAUAUCAAGACAAUUACAACCACAACAAUUGAUUCAUUCUUCAAAUGAGAAUGAGAUUCCAUUGAAACAAAUUGAUAAUAAUGAUGAAUCUUGUCAAGAAUUAAGAAGAAGUAAGAGGAUUAAAAAGGUCAAAGAUUUUGGACCAGAUUUCAUUAUGUUUCUUGUAGAAGGAAAAGGUGAAAGUAUAUGCAAUAAGAAACCUUAUUGUUAUAAUACCGAAUCUGAUCCUAUUACAUUUGAAGAAGCAGUGAAAUCUCAAGACUCUGCUUUUUGGAAAGAAGCAAUAAAUGAUGAAAUGGAUUCAAUAAUGGGAAAUCAAACUUGGAUCUUAGUUGAUCUUCCACCAGGUUCCAAACCAAUAGGUUGUAAAUGGAUCUUCAAAAAGAAAAUGAAGGUCGAUGGAACCAUUGAUAAAUUUAAAGCAAGGUUGGUAGCAAAAGGUUUUACACAAAGACAAGGUAUUGAUUACUUUGAUACCUAUGCUCCAGUAGCAAGAAUUGCUACAAUUAGACUAUUAAUAUCACUUACCUCUAUAUAUAAUUUGGUUCACCAAAUGGAUGUUAAAACUGCAUUUUUAAAUGGUGAAUUGGAAGAGGAAGUGUACAUGGAGCAACCGGAAGGAUUUAUUGUUCCAGGACAAGAGCAUAAGGUAUGUAAGCUUGUUAAAUCUUUAUAUGGGCUUAAACAAGCACCAAAACAAUGGCACCAAAAGUUUGACAAGGUUGUUUUAGCUAAUGGCUAUAAAAUAAAUGAAUCCGAUAAGUGCAUAUAUAGUAAAUUUGAUAAUGGAAAGGGUGUUAUAAUUUGCUUAUAUGUAGAUGACAUGCUCAUUUUUGGCACGGAUUUGGAACAAAUAGAAAACACAAAGAAAUUCUUGUCAAACAACUUUGCUAUGAAGGAUAUUGGUGUAGCAGAUGUUAUUCUUGGGAUUAAAAUAACCCGAGAUGAAAGCACUAUAGCUUUAUCACAAUCACAUUACAUUGAAAAUGUGCUUAAAAAGUUUGAUCUUUUCAACUGUAUACCAGCAUCUACACCCAUGGAUCCUCAAUUAAAAUUAGUAUCUAAUGCUGGUAGGAAAAUUGAUCAAUUGAAAUAUGCAAGUCUAAUUGGUUGUCUUAUGUACAUAAUGACUUGUACAAGACCAGAUAUUGCAUAUGCUAUUGGAAAAUUGAGUAGAUACAUAAGUAAUCCAAGUAGUUUGCAUUGGCAAGCUUUAAAUAGAGUACUUAGGUACUUAAAGAAAACUAUUAACUAUGGAUUGUGUUAUAAUGGAUAUCCUCCAGUUUUAGAAGGGUAUUCGAAUGCUAGUUGGAUUACAAGUUUGGAAGAUCAUGCAUCUACUAGUGGGUGGAUCUUCAUUCUUGGUGGAGGAGUCAUUUCUUGGGGUUCCAAGAAACAAACAUGUAUUACUGAUUCCACCAUGGCAGCAGAAUUUAUUGCAUUAGCCGCUGCAUCUAAAGAAGCAGAAUGGUUAAGAAAUUUGCUUUAUGAUGUACCUUUAUGGCUUAAGCCAAUUUCACCUAUUUCUAUCCGUUGUGAUAGUGAGGCUACUCUAGCAAAGGCAUAUAGCCAAGUAUAUAAUGGAAAGUCUAGACACAUUGGAUUAAGACAUAGUUAUGUCCGACAAUUAAUCUCUGAUGGAGUGAUCACUAUUAAUUAUGUGAGGUCAAGUGAAAAUUUGGCAGAUCCUUUGACAAAAAGUCUUGCUAGAGAUGCAGUAAAAAGGACCUCAAAAGGGAUGGGACUCAAGCCUAUUAAUUAGAGUCACCCAUGAUGGAAACUCGACUCAACGCUUGGUAUAACGUCAAGUCUUGAGUUCAAUGAGACAAAGUACAUCAUUAGUAUGUGACUGUUAGCACUAUAAAUAAAUCCAUCCUAAGAUUAAAGUGCUAGGUACUCGUAAUGAUAAGGGAAGGAUGAGUAAUGUACUCUUAAUGGACCCAUAACAUAAAUAUGUUAGAGUGUUAUAAUUACGGGAACACUUUUGAUGGGAUCUACCUAUGUGAGUGGAAGUGUGGCCGCUUCUAGGAGCUUAAGGGCUUGGCUCUGACAGCACUCAUGAAAAGAGGACAUAGACACAUAGCUAUAAUAGUGUCCCUAGAUACUAUGCAUUGACUGAUGUUGAAAUCAUUGUGUGAGAUGUGUUCAGUUAAUCAAAUGGAAUAGUUGGUUCAAAGCUUAGUCUACCAUAAAAUUUCAAUUAACUUUAACAUGUUUUCACUAAGUGAAGGUUCAAUCGUAAGACACCUUUAUUUAUACAAAUUGAUUUCCAAGAAUAUCAAAAUCUAAUUAUUUUGAAAAUGGGGGGGGAUAAUUGUUGGAAUAUUUUCAAAUAUUUAUAGUAUCCCAAUAACUAUAAAUGAAUGGGUGUAAUUAAUCAAAAGAUAAAACUUUUGGUCAUUGAUCAAAAGUUAUAUCAUUUGAUUUUUUAAAAAAGAAUUAUAACUAUUCAACAAAUAUUAUUUGAAUAGUUACAAAAUUAAAUGAAUAAUUAUUAUUAUUUAUUUAUUCAUAAAGACACCUAUUGAAAGAUGUCUCUAUGAAGAGACAUGAAAAUUCCUAUAAAUAGGAAUGGGAUUUCAUUUGGAAAUGAUAUCAACAAAUUCUAAUAUUAUUUCUUCUCUUCCUUCAUUUUCUAAUAUUAUUAGAUUAUUCUAUAAAGUAUUGCUGCAGAAAUCCUUUGUAGAAAUUGAGUUUUUGUUAUACAUUACUCAGUGCAUAGUGGACUAUUCUCGUCAGUGCAAAACGCAAAUAGUCAUUGGCUUCAUUGUAUCCUCGAGGUUAAUUUGCUUGGAACUCGUUUGCACACUGAAGAUAAGUGGGGGCGAAUAUAACCUUAAAGAUAGUGGCUUGAUACACGCCUUGGAGCCUGUCCUAUUUCUUCUUUUUCUUUUCGAGUUCCGAUCGUGUGUUCGAGUUUUUUUUCCUUACCGGAGUUUUGUACUAACAAGACAUGGCAGAUCUCUUAAUUGAUAACAGCCACGAAGAAAUAAUGUUGUGAGGUUCUUUAGUUCAGAGAUGGAAUUUGGUAAACUCUCGAUCUUUGUAAAAGACAAAUUGAGAACACUAAGACAAGGCUUGUUCAUGAAUAAAGAAUAUGGGAUUUUCUUUACAGGGUUCCCCCGCAAUAACAAGGUUGUGAGCAGUUGACAUUUUGUAGGCAGCACACCUAUGGAAACUUCUGAUAUGGAGUUAUACAUAAGUGACACUUUCUCAAUAUCUGGACUCCAUUGCUCCUUUUCUGGUAACUCUUCUAAUUGCGAACCUGCUUGUAUCAUAUAUUGAGGAUUCAUUCUUGUGAUCGACAGUGCCAUGUCUCUCACUGCAUCAUGCAUCUUUAUGCGAUGUAAACCAAAUUCAGUGGUAAUAUUUUCCAACAAGCAAUUAUCUUCCAACUUCUUCAAAAUAACUUGGCCCUUGCCUUCCAUUUCGUGUCUUGUAGCCAUAUCAUCUAUGAAUCCCUCUUCAAUCCAGCACUCAAUUAACUCAUCCUUCCAAAUUUCAAAAUCUUCAGGAAAUAAUGCGCAAUGUAAGAAACAAUAUUUCACUUUCUCGUCCUUUAAGUGAUCGAAGCUAAAUUUCAAACGCUCUAUCACUUUAGCUUCCACUCCCUCCACUUUUUCUACUGUCUCUUUCAAUUCCCUGAGUGCGUUUUUCCAAAUAAGGGGUUUCUCUUCUCCUUUCAAUGUACUAGCUACAACAACAAUUAUAAGAGGCAGACCCGCACAUUCUUCGACAACAAGCCUCAAAAAUUGGCAUUAAAGUUCGAUUUUGCACUAUGUUAGGCCCAACUUUACUCAAGAAUAGUGUCAAUGCCUGUUGUGCUGAAAGGGGCUUCACUUUUAUCACCGUGCAAUCCAUAUACUUACAGACAUGCUCCGAACGGGUUGUCAACACCAACUUACAGCCAUUGCUGUCACUCGGCUCAGGGAUCCCAACUUCUUCUAGAGAGACUUCAUCCCACACAUCAUCUAGGAUUAGAACAUGCUUUCCUACUUUCUUCAGCAUUUCUGACAAGAUUGCAGCUCGUCUGAGCUUGUCUCCUUCUAUGGCCAAAUCUUCCUUCAACUUCAAAGCACUUGCAAUAUCAUCUUGUACCUUCAUUACACUGGACUCCUUUGAUAUGGCAUCCCAGACUACUCUUUCGAAUCUUUGUUCUUUCAAAAUAUCAUUGUGGAUGUGCUUCAUGAUCGUGGUUUUACCCACACCGCCCAUCCCCCAAACCCCAAUCUUUUUUACCUCCUCUUGCAUCAAACAUGCCCAAAUCUCUUUUCUGGCAGCUUCCUCCCCAACUAGUUCUGAUGUUGGCAGUGGCAACCCACCACUUGGACCAUCCAUGGCAAGAGCUUCAGAGGCAUUAGGAGCUUUAUCAAGAAAUUCCUUCAUUUCUCGAGUCUUUUCAUCAACCAGCUUUUCGUUCCAAGCACGACAGAGAUAUCUCCCGUUUCUGACUUUAAUUUCUACAUCCUGUGCUUCCGCAAUCAUCUCUUUCGCAUCUUUCAACCAAUUUUCAACUCCCUGCUUUGGUAUCUUCCCCCCAGGAGAAAGAAGCUCUGCUUUCAAUUGCCGCUCUAUGUCUGCCAUUUUACAAUUCAAUUCAUCUCUGAUCCUUCCGAAGUUUCUCACAUAAUCAUUCAGCUUUCUGUGAUAUUUCAAGUAUUUACAAAGAGGAGGUCCAAGACAAUUUGCAAUGCCAACACCGGGCUCUACGUAUUCCAUUUGCUCUGGCCCUGCAACGCAAUCAUAUAUGUUAGUGUAUUGGAUUUUUGAAUAAUUUUUUAUAUGUUAGUGUAAGCAUGAAAAGGAAUCAUAAAUGCAAUGGCCUUUAUUAGAUGGAGCUAUGGAUAGGUGGCAGACAGAAACAGGAUGAAAAUCAUUGCCUUAUUACCUGACUUAGUGGCUGAAAUGUGUUGAGAGAUUAGAACUGAAAAUGAAGCAGUGAAGUUGACUUCCUUGACUAUCUUACAAAGCUAGCAGAUAAUAAAAAACAAUCAUUGCAUAGUCAUGGAUGAAGCAAAUGAAAGAAAAUUACCUUUGACGGGAUGCUUGAAAUUUGGUGAUAGACCUUGGAGAUGAAAACAAAUUAAAAACAGUGAAGAAGAAAGAAUGUUGUGGGCAGAAAGGCAGAACUAUUAAGCAAAGAAAAGCAUGUAAUGAAAUAAGCAAAUGAAAGAAAAGUAGGUAGAGUGGAUGGUUGAAAUCAGUAGAGGAAAUCAUUGCCUUAUUACCUGACUUAGUGGCUGAAAUGUGUUGAGAGAUUAGAACUGAAAAUGAAGCAGUGAAGUUGACUUCCUUGACUAUCUUACAAAGCUAGCAGAUAAUAAAAAACAAUCAUUGCAUAGUCAUGGAUGAAGCAAAUGAAAGAAAAUUACCUUUGACGGGAUGCUUGAAAUUUGGUGAUAGACCUUGGAGAUGAAAACAAAUUAAAAACAGUGAAGAAGAAAGACUGUUGUGGGCUGAAAGGCAGAACCAUUAAGCAAAGAAAAGCAUAUGUAAUGAAAUAAGCAAAUGAAAGCAAAGUAGGUUGAAAUUUUGUGAAAGAAGAAAGUGUUGCGGAAGCGACGAUAAUAUUAAUAACAAUAUUAUCAGAAAUAUUUAGAUAAUUAUUAUGCCAACAAUUAUACUAAGAAAAUUCCCAGUUAAAUUGGAGGGGUCACAAAUGGUCCCGCUUAAAACCCAACAACUAGACAGAACUCACUUAGAUAUUUAUAGCAAUAAUAACUAAAUAAAUAUAACCAACAUAAAGCUAUUAAAUAUAAGCAAACAAAUAAGAAAUAAAAUACCAGAGAUUUAACGAGGUUCGGCCAAUUUAGCUUACAUCCUCGGACACUACCAAAUUAAUAUUUCUUCUAGAAAUAUUACAAAGGAGAAGAUUUUGGGAUGAUACAACCAAAGGGGGAGGGGUUCUAUAUAUAACAAACCAAGCCCCCUCCCUUUCUAUCUUUUCCUAAUGUGGGAUAUUGCCAAUAUUCAACAAAUCUCCACCUUGGCGAUAUUCCACAUCUUCGAACAUCUUCUCAUAACACUAACUUCAAUAGUGUCUUCAAAUUUGCAACCAAUCGCCUUCUUCCCUUUUGGUAGUUGUGCCAGCUUCCACGUCUUGUUUUUCUCUAGAGAUUGCAUUUCCUCUUCCAUUGCACCUAACCAUCUAUUAUUCUCUAAACUCUGAAUGGCUUUGGUGUGAGUGGAUGGAAUAUUAUCAACAACUGGAAGUGCAUAAGCUACCAUGUCAGUGAAACGAGCAGGUUUCUGAAUUUCUCGUCUCUGCCUUCUGACUGCAAUUGGCUCUGAUUGCUAUUGAGGUUCUUGGGUAGAAACCUCUUCCUCAUCUGACUCUGCAUCUGCCAAUGAAGAAUCACUAGUGGUACCUUCUGCUGGAAUUACCACACUCUGCUCAAACUCCACCUGCUGCGGAGUACACUCCACCUGCUGCGAAGUACUACUCACUCCUUCUGGAUUUACCUUAUUCAACAUGGCAGAUUCAUGAAAGGUAACAUCCCUACUGAUUAUCGUCUUCUUUGCCUCUAGACACCACAAACGAUAUCCCUUAACACCAGCAUUGAAGCCCAUGAAUAGAGCCUUCUUUGCUCUUGGAUCUAACUUUGAUUCUUUCACAUGAUAAUAUGCAAUAGAACCAAAAAUGCGCAAGGUGUCAUAAUCAGUAGCAGGUUUUCCAUACCAUUUCUCCAAAGGAGUCUUGCCAUUUAUAGCAGAUGAUGGCAAAUGAUUGAUGAGAUGUUGAGCGUACGUCACAGCCUCAGCCCAAAACUUUCUAUCUAAUCCAGCAUUAGAUAACAUACAUCGAACUUUCUCCACAAGCGUUCGAUUCAUACGCUCUGCCACCCCAUUCUGUUGCGGUGUUCCACCUACGGUGAAGUGCCUUACUAUGCCACAAUCUUGGCAUAUCUUCAGGAAUAGAUCGCUUUUAUAUUCUCCACCGUUGUCUGAUCGGAGAACCUUAAUCUUCCUUCCUGUCUGAUUUUCAACUUUAGUUUUCCACUUAAGGAAAACUUCAAGCACCUCAUCUUUGUUCUUCAUAGGAAACACCCAAACUCGUCUGGAAAAAUCAUCAAUAAAGGUGACAAAAUAACGUCUUCCUCCAAGUGAUGGAGUCUUGGACGGUCCCCAUACAUCAGAAUGCACAUAAUCCAGAAUACCUUUAGUAUUGUGAAUCCCAGUGCCAAAUUUCACCCUUCGUUGUUUUCCCAGAACACAAUGCUCGCAAAAUUCAAGUUUGCAAGUCUUUGUACCUUUCAAUAAUCCUUGCUUGGCUAGAGUUUGCAAGGAUUUUUCACCAGCAUGGCCCAAACGCAUAUGCCACAGCUGUGUUGCCUCAGCGUCCUUCUUGGUACUCGAAAUUGCUGCUGCUGUUGUCCCGACCACUGUACUACCUUGGUAGUAAUACAGAUUGUUCUUUCUUAUGCCUUUCAACAUCACCAAUGCUCCUGAAGUUGCUUUAAGAACUCCAUCUCGUAUUGUCACAACUAGGCCUUUAGAUUCUAACGACCCCAAAGAGAUGAGAUUCUUCUUCAACUUUGGGACAUAUCGUACAUCCCGCAAAAUUCUAGUAGAUCCAUCAUGACUCCUCAAUUUAAUUGAACCUAUCCCGGCUAUUUUACAUGUGUUAUCAUUACCCAUGUAAACAACCCCUUCAUCUAGUUUUUGAAAUUCAAAGAACCAUUCCCGAAUGGGACACAUAUGAUAGGAACAACCAGAAUCCAUGAUCCACUCAUCUGCAUAUAAUGUUGAAGAUGUCAUACUAAGAGAAAAGUCUGACUCUGCUUCACUAUUGCAUUCUGCAACAUUUGCAUCUUGCGGAGUCUUCCCUUUUUUCUUCAAUUUUGGACAAUCUUUCUUCCAAUGUCCUUUUUCUUUGCAAAAGGAACAUUCAUCUUUGGCAACAGCUCGACCUUUGGACUUUCUUCUCUUCCCAUUAGACUGACUUUGCUGACGACCUCUUGUUACCAAUGCUUCCACUGCUGCUUCACCUGAACCUUUCAACUUAUCCUUUCGGCGUAGUUCAUAGCUAUACAAUGCAGCAGUUACUUCAUUGAAAGUUACUUCCGAUUUUCCAUGAAGUAGAGUAGUUUCAAGGUACUCAAACUCCUCAGGAAGCGAUCCCAACAACAUUAACGCCAAGUCUUCGUCUUCAAAAGUCACAUCCAAAUUCAACAAAUCAGCCACCAGCUGAUUAAAAUUGGUAAUGUGCUCGUUCAUCGUGGUACCAGGAACAUAAUUGAAACGAAACAGUCUUUUCUUCAUAUGCAACUUAUUUUGACUGUUCUUCUUCAAGAAUUUCUCCUCCAAUGCUUUCCACAAUUUACUUGCAGAAGUCUCUUUACUGAAUGUAUACUUCUGCUCUCUGGAAAGACAUGAUCGAAUUGUACCACAUGCCAAUCGGUUGAUGGUCUUCCAUUCUUUAUCAUCAACCCCUUCUGGUUUUUCUUCCUCAAUGGCAAUAUCUAGACCCUGUUGAAAGAGGGCAUCUAGAAGCUCACUUUGCCACAUGCCAAAAUGACCUGUUCCAUCAAAAAUUUCCACUACAAAUCUCGUAUUUGCAGUUCCAAUCCUCGGCAAAAUGUACGAAGUGGAAGUUGUUGAUAUGGAUGGUUUUUCUUCUGUCAUUUUUGCCAUAGCUUCUACUUAAUAGCCACCAAAUGCAGAAUACCCACAAGCUUUAGGAAAUGUUUCUGAUGUGUAAGAUCAGACUAAGCUGCAAACACAGAGCAUACUACAAAACCUUGGCUCGGAUACCAAUUGUUGCGGAAGCGACGAUAAUAUUAAUAACAAUAUUAUCAGAAAUAUUUAGAUAAUUAUUAUGCCAACAAUUAUACUAAGAAAAUUCCCAGUUAAAUUGGAGGGGUCACAAAUGGUCCCGCUUAAAACCCAACAACUAGACAGAACUCACUUAGAUAUUUAUAGCAAUAAUAACUAAAUAAAUAUAACCAACAUAAAGCUAUUAAAUAUAAGCAAACAAAUAAGAAAUAAAAUACCAGAGAUUUAACGAGGUUCGGCCAAUUUAGCUUACGUCCUCGGACACUACCAAAUUAAUAUUUCUUCUAGAAAUAUUACAAAGGAGAAGAUUUUGGGAUGAUACAACCAAAGGGGGAGGGGUUCUAUAUAUAACAAACCAAGCCCCCUCCCUUUCUAUCUUUUCCUAAUGUGGGAUAUUGCCAAUAUUCAACAGAAAGAAUGUUGUGGGUACAAAGGCAGAAGUAUUAAGUAAGGAAUCCCAUCUUUUUUUACUUUUCCUUUGCUUCUGCCCUGAUUUACAAUUUGAUUCUUCUUUAAAUCUGUAUAAAUCACUAAUCUGCCAUGUCCUUUCCAUUCAUUCUGGACAUUACUAACAAGUUUUGAAGUCAUCUUGGUGCUCAAUUGUAACAACAACAUCAGCAGCAGCAGCAGCAUAAUAAUGGGAAAGUAUGGUCUAAGAAUGCCUAAUUAUAUGUUACAACUUGAAAUAAAUAUUUAGUUACGUACAUAUAAAUUCCUUCAUAAGUUACACUUUUAAAUCCAAAUUGUGGUUUAUUGAUUGGGUGUUCCCUAUUAGAAAUAGCCGAAAUUCAAAUUAUCAUUGUACCCAAAUUUGAAAUUGUUUUAAAAUUUUAGAAUAUUAUAAAAUUUAAAAGUAAAUAACAGUAGAUAAACAUUUCAAAAAUAGAGAAAAUGAGGGAAAAACAUUUCAAUAUUUUUUUUUCUACAAUUUUUAUAUACAUUUUUCUAUUUUAUAAAUAAUUUUGAGUUUUUUUUAUAAUCUUUAUACAAAAUUAAGAUCAAAUUGAUAGAAAAUAUAAAAAUUGAGAGCAAUAAUUAUUAUUAUACCAAUUGAAACAAAUUCCAAUUAACAGUUGGGUGACAAAAAAAAAAUUCAAAAACAUUAGUGAUGAAAUUGUAAUUUUUUUAGUUAAGUGAUAAAAAUAAAAAAACUUACCCAUAAUUGGAUCACUAAUGGUCUAAUUUACCCUAAAUUCUUUUAAAAUUUUUAGUUUAAAACUUUUUUUUAUAAAUACUAUGUAUUAAGCCUUUUAUGUUAGUGCCGCUAUCAAUCAAAUCACAACUCAAUAAGAAAGUUAUCAAAAAACUAUUUUAUUUGAAAAGUAAAAUAUAUGAUUAUGAGAAUGUUUUCGUCUUUUUAUACUUUUAUAAAUUAAUAAAAAAAAUUAUCCAUAAUGAGAUUUGAACUAAUGACAUUCACUUGAAACUUUAAUAAUUAUAUCUAUGUUCUAAAUUUUUAUUUAUUUGUGUAUAUAAAAAAUGUUGUUGAUUUAGUGUCACAAAUGAACACGGCACCAACUCAGAAUUGAAAACAAAACAAUGAUAAUCAAUUGUAUUCAUUUAGUAUUUUUAAUCUGAUGUGUUUUUUUUGUUGUUUAGAUUUCGUUUUACUCACAAUUUAUUCUAAUUUUUAUUUUAAUAUAGUGCAUAUUUUAUAUGGUAUUAUUAAUUAGUUCCAAAUUUGAUAGCAAGUUACUUUAAUAUAUUUAAUAUACCCAAUUUUGGUAAACUUUUUAAUAGAAUUCUACUAAACUUGUGAUUUAUUGCCCAAAUUUUAUCAUGGACACAAUUGGAGUGCCGAAGUUCAAAAACAAACAAAUUGAGCUAAAUUGGAACAAAAAACAAGUUGGGGAGCUGAAUUGAAAGUUGCAAAAUUAAUUUUGGGAUGAUAAAAAAUAUUAGAUUUUUUACUUUGACUAAUUCUAUAUUUAGAAAAAUUUGAUUUAGUGGUUGCUUGUUAAGCAUAAUUCUAAGAGUAAAAUGAUGUGAAAUUGAUUCUUUGAGAUCCGUAUAUAAAGGUUUUUAAUUGUGGCACGAAUACACACUUUGAAUUUAAAAAGACAGUUUAGCACAUUCUUGCGUCUAUUGCAUUUGAAGCAAUCUGCCAUUGUUUUUCUCUUUUUAUGUUUUGGUGCAAUUUCCCUUUUAGUUCUCUCCUUUCUUCACCUAUUAUCUUUCAUUAAAAUUCACUCUCAUAAUCCAAUCAAGUAUGAUUAAUUCAUGUUCAACCAAUCUUCGUUUAGCUUUAGACCGGUUAUCAUUUCGACCAAGAAACAUGAGAAAUGAACCCACGCUAAAACCUUACAAUACGGUAUUCAUUAUCUUUCCGUAAUAUGAGAAAGUUACAAUUAUCCCUUAAAGUUAAUUCAAUUUCAACUCAAAAAGUGUGGAUUUGAGUUGCUUGGUGUACAGUUAAGAAAAUGAGUUGUUAUUCUCUUUGUCAAUUUGAUGUUGAUAAUAUAUAAAUUGGUAAAAAAAUUAAAAUUAUUUUUAAAAUUUUAUAAAAUUAUAAAAUUAAAAAUUAAAUAAAAAUAGAUUAAAAAUUCAAAAAUAAAUAAAGUGAGAGAAAAUUAGGGGUAAUUGUUUUUAAACCCUCCAAUAUUUCUCUAUAUUAUCUGUAUCAAAAUAUUCAAUACCCAUUAUUUUAAAAAAAACAUAGAAAAGAAAAACAUUAAUCAAAAUUAUUUGAUCUCUGUUUUUUACUUCUUCUGUUUCUUGACAUAACUUUUACGUUGUAAGCAAAGAUAAAUUUCUGAAUAUAAUUUAUUUUUACAAUUUGGGUUUUGAAAAAUAAUUUAUAGGUAAUGAAAUUUUGAAUUGAGUUUGAAAAAAAAUUUGUGGUAUAUUUUGUAUUCUUCUAAAUAAAAAAAUGGCAUUAGGGUCAAUUUUAUAAGCCUCAAAAAAUAUCAAAUCUAGAUGUCAUUUAAGACCAUGAAACUCAACUUGAUAAUAGUAAUGAUUUGAUUUCAAGAAAUAUUGAGGAAUCAUGUAAUGAUCUAACUCUUUUUUUUUGGGGGGUUUUGUUCUCUUUUUAAUUUGUUAUCGAAUUCUAUUCUCCAUCUUCUAAUAUUCCUAGAUUGUUUUAUGAGAAAUUACUGUAGAAGUUCUUUAUAGAAAUUGGUAUUCUUGCUAUGCUCCAUUCAAUGCUCAGUGAAUUAUUUUUGUCAGUGCAAAACAUUGACAAUCAUUAGGUUUCAUUGUAUCCUCAAGGUCAAUUUGCGAGUAACUCUUCUGCACAACAAUAAAUAAUUGGGGGCGAAUAGAACUUUAAAAUAGUAGCAUCAUAAAACCUUUUUUAAUUUCUCUGAAAUUCAUUUUUAUCACCAAUAGCAAUUAUGGGAACAAUAAUCAAAGAAAACAAACAAUAUUAUGAGUCAAUUUUUAUGGUGUUCAGGGCAACUUUCGUUUUUAAGUUCCACAAAGGUAAAGUAAAUUCCAUCUUUUCUUAUUAUUAGUUUUUUCCUUUGCAGUAUUCCAUUAUUGUUGGCACUAUUGUUCUCUACAAUGAUUCUAAAAUAUAAUAUUUAUAAUUAAUCAUAUGUAUCUAAAUUAGAGCAAAUAGCAGUCUUAUGAUUUACAUUAAUGCAACAUUUCAUGUUGCCUCUGAUUCCAAUUCUUUUAGUCCCCUCCAUGUUCCACCUUCAAGAAAAAACAAGAGAGAAUGAACCUAAAUUUGGAUACCUAAUCCUUCCUCUAUGAAAUCAGAGUUACCUUCAGAUUUUAAUUCCAAUACCGACAUUGUAACGCCCUGAUUAUUUAACUUUAUUUCUGUGAAUUUUUUCACAAAUAUGUGUCUACUUCAGUGGCUAAGUGUUUUGAUUGUGUUUGAUGUUUUGGGUUCAAGUCCCAUUUUUUGAAAUUUUUGCUAUUUGUGAUUCUAGCCUAUUCCUUGGCGGUUUGACUUAUAUUCUAUUGCUAGUCAGAUCAUAUUAGAAUGAGCUUGCUGGUUUGAGUGGUAAGGUGUUAACUUGCCCUGAGGUCUUGUGUUCAAAUAUUUGUAUGAUUGUGAAUGAUAAUUUUUGUUGCAGGUGUCUGAUAGGGGUUCAGUAGAGUUUAAAUUCUGAGGUAGUUGGAUGUGGAUGGAAGUGUCGGAUUUGAUGAGAUGAGUGGGGAGUUGGGGGAAAUUAGUGAUAUUUUAUUAAAAAUUUAAUUUUAAUUUUAAUUUUCUUUUCACAAAAAAAUCUCCUAUCUUACUAUUUUAUUUUUAGUUUUAUUUUAUUCAAAAUAUCCAUUAAAACCAUUUUAAGAAAUUGAAGUUACCAUAUUAAAAUUUAAUAUACAAAAUCAAGUUAUGUAAAUUUUCAAAGCAUUUCGUGUUGUUUAAGGAUUCUAAUUUUAUUGUGUAAAAAUCAGAACUUAUUUGCAAAAGUUUCAAAAUAUGCCCAAAACUCUCUGAUCACCGUGUCGCGACCUCAUGAUUCCCAUGUUGCAACAUCGACCCAAUAUCAGUAUCACGAUAUGGACUUGAAAACUUGCAGGAAAAUUUCAGUACUUGGGUUGGACACUUUCACACCCUCGUACACAUACCAAAUCGAGAUUUCAUGCUAUUCUCCCUAUUUUAACAUGUCAUAUAACUUACAUUAACAUGUUUUGACGUCUCAAGUAAAUUGCUAUUCUAUCAUUCAACCCUAAAGUCACAAUUCAAUUACUCAAAAUGUAAUUUUUGUAUUUUAAGCAUUUCUAAGUGUAUAAUUGAUACAUAAAAUACUAUAUGGUCAUUUUGGACUUACCUCAAUACGCAACAAGCCAGUCCAGCAGCAAUUUACAUGUUAGCCAAUAAACAAGUACACAACACCUUACUAAUUCAACCAAUAACAUGCAUUCUCAAAUCUUCCAUUGAAACCGUUCAUUCGAACCAAUUUUAAAAGUUCUAAAAACCAUUUUAAACAACCCAUAUUGUCCAUUAAUAAAUCAUUAACAGUUCAAAGUCUAAAACCCUCUAGAUUAGUCCCACAUUGCCUUCCUUAUUGAUUUAAAAACACACCAAACGUAGUCAAGUUAAAUUGUCUUGCUUUGGAUCACUUGGCAGCUCACUUCUCCUCCUCGUUUCAGCUAUAUCUCUGCACUGUUAAAUAUAAAAGAGUGUGAGCUUUUUCAAGCUCAGUGAGUGCUUAGAGAUUGCCACAAGUAAUCACAAUAUCCAAAGUUAGAAGAAAGCAUACAAUCACAAUUAAUCACGGUAAGCAAUAAAGCAUAAUUCAUAGCAUUCACAUUAAUAUGUUGCCAGAAUGUGAUUAUGAAGCAUAUGUACAAAAUAUAUUGCAUUGGGUAACCAGAUUUCCAAAUACAACCAAUAUAAUGUGUAGCGUAAAGCUAUCACCCUCCAAACACAUCCACUUAAACAUGUAUACUUAUUGUUUUAUGCACACUUUCACAUAUCACACAACUCAUGUUCAUAUCACAUAUUCAAGUCUCAUAUCAUGCACUUACAAGUGCUCACAUUAUGCUCAAAUAGUCACAACAUAUAGAUCUCAUAUAGUGUAUAUAAAAUCAGCAAGACUCAUAUCAUAUUCAGUCAUCAACACAUAACAUUUUUUAUUGUCAUCUCAAUUUACAACACAUAACAUAUCACAUUUAAGCAUCAAUUGCAAAUCAUCAUUAGUUUAGGUAGAAACACUUACUAUUGAAAAUUGGACGGUGUGGAUAUGUUUGGAUAGCUAGAAAAUCAUUAAGGGUGAGUUAAUUUUGAGAGAAAAUAUUAGAGUUGAAUUUGGGGAAAUUUUGAAUGUGAAAUUCAAUGGAGGGAAGGGACGUCGGGUUCUUAAAGAAAUGGGGAAGAUGAGUAGUUUUUUUUUUUUUAAAUAAGGAAAAAUUGCAUUUUAAAAACUUCCAGUUUUCCUUUAUUUUUCAAUUCAGACCUUAGUUUAAUUAAAACGCAUUUUUCUCAAUUAUUUUCAAAUCCGAUAUUUUUAAAAGGUCCAUUUUAACCAAAUUAAUUCCCGAAUACCCAAUUUUAAUUUCUUAACAUAAAAUUAUUAAUUAUAUUAAUUUUAAUACUUUAUUUAAUUAAUUCCUAAUUAUUUUAAUGAUCUAACUUAAUUAUGAUUUUUGAUUCACUAACCCCGAUUUACUAUCUCGAUUUUUGGGAUGCGACAUGACAGCAUUAUGUAAAUAUGAUAUAAUAAUAAUUACUGAUAGCAUACAAAUAAAUUGUUGAUUACAUACCCUAUUGUAUAAACUAAAAUAUAAUUAUACUACAAGUUCUAUAAUAUGAUAUCUAAUGGGUUAAUUUUUAAAAUUGCAUAUUUUAAAAUUAAAAAAAAAUAUAAAAAUGUUAAUUUAUAAUUAUUCCUAACUUAUAUGCUUUUCAAUGUUACAACUUUUAUUAGAAUUAUUAGUAAAAAAAUGCAUAAAUGAUUGAUAGCAUAAUCAUUUUAAAGACAAAUAAUUAUAAAUUAAUUAUAUAAAAGUAAGUGAUAACAUUUUGUACUUUGUUAAUAUAAAAAAGGGUAAACACUUAAUAACAUAGUAAUAAAUAAUUUAUAAUACAUGAAUAAAUAAUAAAGAAAUAAUAUAGUAUAAAAUUAAAUAAUUAAUAAUACAAUAUAGUAAUAAAAUUUAUAAAUAUCAUUAUUUUUAAUGCCUAAUCGUAUAUACAUCAUUUUAAUUAAUAAAAAUUUAUAAUAUUGUAAAUAAUACCAUGAUGAUAGUUUUUUCUCACCUUAAAUUAUUUUGAUUAAAAUAUGUUGUUUUUAGACAUUAAAUACGUGAUUUCCAAGGUAUAUGCGUGUGAUAAAAUUUUUAGUAUUAUUUUAACCUUUCAGACAAUAAAAUUUUUAAUUAUUAGACUCUUGAUAUACUCUUAAAAACAAUCUACAUUUUUUUCUAAAUCUAGACCCAUUUUUGGCCUAGCUCGGUCAAUCCAAAAAAUAACUCAUUUUCCUGUUCAAAAAUAAUAAAAUAAUUUUAUAUUAAUAUUUUUAUAUUUAAAUAUAAAUUUAUAAAUAUUUUUACUUUAAAAUUUGAAGCGAAUAUAUAUUAUUAUAUAAAAUUUGAAAUUUAUUAAAAUUUACGAAAUAAUAGAUUAGUGUUAAAUGUGAUAAAAGGUCAUAAUAAUAUCAAAAUAAGUUUAUAACUUAAAUGUUUUAAUUAUAAAUAUGAAAAUUUAGAAGGUUAUUUUGGGAAGUGUAUAUAUAUAUAUUAGAGAAGAGAGAGAAUAGGAGGAACGGUAAGAGAGGGAAAAUAUUUAAAAAGUGAAAGUUUGAUUUCUUAUUUACCUUUGCCUCUCAGCCUCCAUGCUCUUCCAUCAUUCCUUUUCUCCUCUCUUUUGCACUAUCCUGCCCCCUACUUCUUUCCAACAACCCUACUUCCAUCAUUCCAUCUUUCUCUUCAACAUCAUCACAAAUAUACAUCAAAUUUUAUUAAUAUGGAGAAAUUAGAUUUAUCAAAAAAAAAAACCAUAAAUGGUUCAUACCUCUUAUCCUCGACGGGGGAUUAAAGCGAAGAACAUUUUUAUAGUUUGGAUGGUCAUCCCACUCCAACGAUUCCCACCAUUCUUUCCAUGACCUGAUGGUAAGAGAAGGUGGAGCAUAUGCAAAUGGCUGCCCAUUGCCAACAAGGGGAACAAAUGGAGGAAUUCUCUUCAGUUUAUCACAUCUAAUAAUAUGGAUAAGUUGGAGAGAAUCACAAACCAUCACUCCGCUUUUGCUGCAAAUGCUCUUCAAAUUUGGUAAUACACUGAACGACAAUUUUCUCAAUUUGGGAAGAUGGAAUUUGAUUAAUGCAUCACUCCCUUUUUCUUCAACUUCUGAUGUUUCUGCUCCCAAUAUUUCUACUAACUCAUCACAAUGAUCCACUGACAUUUCUUCCAGGUUUUGGAGGUUUGGAAGCAACCAAUGUGGAAGCAACAUCUUCAUACUUGAGCAGCUGUAUAUCGUAAUUUCCUUAAGAUGGGAAAAGCUGGCAGACGGAGCCACUGUUGAUGUUGUUGCUGAACCAAUUCCUGCAUCUUUUAUAAUAAGGGCACUCAACUUUGGCAGAUCUCCAAGAUCUAACACCUCGAGGCUCUGAAAUGGAUGAGCGGAAGAAGAGACAAAAGAGGACGGGGAAGCAACACACUCUAUCCCUUCACACCCCCAAAUACUACAAACCCUCAAGUCAAUCGCAUUUUUGAAGGAAGAAUUAUCAUCGACUAAGUUUCUCGAAUAGUCGCACUUUAAAAUAUUCAACUCUUGAAUUUCAAUUGGGUACAUAAUUAACUCACCUUCCCAAUUGUCGACUCCUCCAAUUGCUACUGUUUUAUCUCUUGUAGGAGGCAUAAAAGAUGGGCCCAGCUGUAAAGAGGACCUGAUGAAAGAUGAGCCCACCUGUAAAGAGUACUUGAUGAGAUUUUUCUUACUUUGUUGCAUUGAGGAGAUGAACUUAUUGAAUUCACUGAUGUCUUCGAAAUGUCCGGUUAAGCACUCCAACUUCUUCAGUGGUUCCAUCUCCUCUGCUUUUAGACUAAUUUGUUUAUCAAAACCCAAGUGCUGAAGGUGAAUGAGUUUUGGUAAAAGUCCAGCGGGUAUCUCUUUCAGAGUGCGCACUUGAAGAUCAAGAUAUCUUAGCUUUAUCAACAUAUCCAUUCCUUCAGGGACUUCCUCAAUUUUAGUCCCAGAAAGAUCCAACUUCUUCAAUUCUUGAAGCAUCGAAAGACAUGGUAGGUCUCUUAAAUCAUAACAACCACGAAGCAACAAUGUUGUGAGGUUCUUUAGUUCAGAGAUGGAAUUUGGUAAACUUUUGAUCUUCGUAGAGGACAAAUUGAGAACACUAAGACAGGGCAUGUUUGUGAAGAAAGAAUAUGGGAUCUUCUUUAUAGGGUUACCCUGCAAUAACAAGGUUGAGAGCAGUUGACAUUUUGUGGGCUGCACAUCUAUGGAAAUUUCUGAUAUGGAGUUAUACAUAAGUGACACUCUCUCAAUAUCCGGACUCCAUUGCUCCUUUUCUGGUAACUCUUCUAAUUGCAAACCUGCUUGUAUCAUAUAUCGAGGAUUCAUUCUUGUGAUCGACAAUGCCAUGUCUCUCACUGCAUCAUGCAUUUUCACGGUUACACUCGAGACAUUUUCCAACAAGCAAUUAUCUUCUAAUUUCUUCAAAAUAACAUGACCCUUAUCUUUCAUUUCUUGUCUUGUACUCAUAUCAUCUAUGAAUCCCUCAUCAAUCCAGCACUCAAUUAGCCCAUUCUUCCAAAUUUGACAAUCUUCAGGAUAUAAUGCGCAAUGUAAGAAACAAUGCUUCAUUUUCUCUUCUUUUAAGUGAUUGAAGCUAACUUUCAUACUCUCGAUCACUUUAUCUUCCCCUUCUUUCACUUUCCCUAUUCUCUCUUUCAAUUCCCUGAGUGUGUUUUUCCAAAUAAGAGGGUCAUCUUCUCCUCUCAAUGUACCAGAUAUGACGACAAUUGUAAGAGGCAGACCUGCACAUUCCUUGACAACCAGCUUCAAAGUUGGCAUUAAAGUUUGAUUUUGCACUAUGUUAGGUCCAACUUCACUCAAGAAUAGUAUUGGAAAUUGGCCAACCAUGCUGCUGUUACAUUUUGUGGUUGAAGUGCAUGCAGCUUGAUGACAUGCUGCAGCACAUAUGCUUGCUGUAACAGCAAGGUUUCUCUUUAGUUUCAUUCUAAUUAAUCUAGUUUAAAAUGGACAAGUUGAUGACAACUUGAUGCAUUAGGUGUUGAAUGACUAGUUUAGGUGGCUUGUUUAUGUGUACAAGCAAUGUUUUAAUAGUCCCAAUGCUGAUUAGUGGGGUUAGUUGACUAUUUGGUGAUGUAUUUGACUAUAAAUGUAUGUUUUUUCUAGUUGAAUGAAUGAGCUGAAUGAGCUAUCAGCCAUUAGCUCCCUUGCUGCACAUUUGUGAGCAAGUAAAAAUGCUUCUUGCACCUUGCUUCAUGUUCUGUGCUCUUGUUCUCUCUUUUGUUGCUGCCUCUUGCACCAACAAAUAGUAUCAAUGCCUCUUCUUCUGAAAGGGGCUUCACUUUUAUCACCUUACAGCCCAUAGACUUACAAACUUGCUCCACACGGGUUGUCAACACCAACUUGUACCCAUUGCUGCUACUUGGCUUAGGGAUCCCAAUUUCUUCCAACAAGACUUCACUCCACACAUCAUCUAGGAUUAGAACAUGUUUUCCUGCUCUCUUCAGCAUUUCGGACAAGAUUGCUGCUCGUCUGACCUUGUUUGCCUCUUUGGGAAUCUUUCCAUUCAAUGCACUUGCAAUAUCAUUUUGUAACUUCACAAUAUUGAACUCCUUUGAUAUAGUAACCCAAACCACCCUUUCAAAUCGCUGUUCUUUCAAAAGAUCAUUGUGAAUGUGCUUCAUGAUGGUCGAUUUACCCACGCCGCCCAUCCCCCAAACCCCAAUCUCGCUUACCUCCUCCUGCAUCAAACAUGCCCAAAUCUCUUUUCUGACAGCUUCCUGUCCAACUAGUUCUGAUGUUUCCAGUGGCAACCCAGCACUUGGACCAUCCAUGGCAAGACCUUCAGAGGCAUUAGGAGCUUUAUCAAGAAAUCCCUUCAUUUCUCGAGUCUUUUCAUCAACCAGCUUCCCGUUGCAAGCACGACAGAGAUAUCUCCCGUUCCUGACUUUGUUUUCAACAACUUGUGCUUCCGUAAUCAUCUCUUUCACAUCUUUCAACCAAUUUUCAACUCCCUUCUUCGGUAUCUUCCCCAGAGGACGAAGAAGCUCUGCUUUCAGUUGCAGCUCUAUAUCUUCCAUUUUGCAAUUCAAUUCAUCUGUGAUCCUCUUGAAGUUUCUCACAUAAUCGUUCAGCUUUCUGUGAUAUUGCAAAUAUUUACAAAAAGGAGGUCCGAGACAAUUUGCAAUGCCGACAACAGGCUCUACGUACUCCAUUGCUAUGUCCCUGCAAUGCAAUCAUAUAUAACAGUAGCAGAGAAUGAAAAUUUGUGAAUGAAUUGGAUAUUUUAUGAAGUAUUGAUAUGUCAGUGUAAGCAUGAAAAGGAAAACAUGAAUGCAAGUUCCAAGCAAUGGCGUUUAUUAGAUGGAGCUAUGGAUGGGUGGCAGACAGAAACAUGAUGAAAUUCUGGUCACCAUUGUAUAUCCAGAAUCAACCUCUCAAACUAUAUAACAUGCUAGAUUCAAGUGUGCAAGAGUUCAUUACAUAAUAUUAAGAGGUAAAAUGUUCAACAGCAUGAGAUUUCAACAUUAUAUUGCUUCUGGGUAGCGCUUUUCGUAUUAAUUUGUAUCUGUAGUAGACUAUGUCUGCUGAUCAUCCUGUCUUAAAAUUGAUAAUCAGUAGAGGAAAUCAUUGCUUCAGAUCGUAUUACCUUGACUAUCUAACAAAGCAUAGCUUUUUUCGUAUUAAUUUGUAUCUAUAGUAGAUUAUGUCUGCUGAUCAUCCUGUCUUAAAAUCCAAAACUGUUGAUAAUCACUAGAGGAAACCAUUGCUUGAGAUCUUAUUACCUUGACAAUCUUACAAAGCUAGCUGCUAUAACAGUAGCUGAUAAUAAAAAAACAUUGUAUAGUCAUGAAUUAAGCAAAUGAAAGAAAACUACCUUGACUGGAUGCUUGAAAAUUAGUGAUAGACGUUGGAGAUCAAAAGAAAUUAAAAAGAGUGAAGAAGAAGGUGAAAACAGAAAUAAGCAAAAUUGUGAUAGGAAUUACUGGGAAAGUAUGUGAAGAAGAAGAAGAUAGAGAAAAUAAUUAAUAAUUAAUGGGAAAGCAUCAUUACAUGGAUAUGAGUAAGAAAUCCAUCUUUUUUUUUACUUUUUUCUUUGCUGUCACCCAUUAUAAUUGGCAUUAAAUAAUAAUAAUUAUAAUAAUUAGGCUUAAUGAUAAAUUUGAUCACUAACUUUUACUUGUUUUGUCAAAAUGACCCUAAUUCUAUUUUUGAACUUUUAUUUACCAUCUACCUUUGUUUCAAUAUUUCUUUUCUUUCAAAAAAUUUUCAAUCUUUCGUAUGUUUGUUUACUGAGAAGUUAUUCUACCGAGGUAAUUUUUUUUUUUAAAUAAUUACUCAGCAACAAUCGUAAGCGAAGGUUUUGGUAUGUGACUUCCCAAAUAAACCUUUGUUUUGCUUUUACCCUUCUUUGGGUUUGUUGAGAAAUUUUGUGUGAUUUUGUUGAUAUCAUUUUUCAGGUUAUGCAGCGAAUAGGUAAAGAUGAAUGGAUAAAUACUUCUGGGUUUCUUGUUUUCUUAAUUAGCGUUUAGGGUUUAAUUAAAAAAAUUGUGUUUUUGUUUAACAUUUUAUAGAAUCGACCCAGAAGAGAGUUUUGUCAAAGUAGUGAAGAAAUAUGGGCUUCCCCAAGAUGAAGGUGUAAAAUCCUUCAUUUCCAACCCGCCAGCCCAGCCUUCUGGUAAAAUGUUUUUGGAUAUUUUCUUAUAAUAAGAGUGUACAUUCUGGAAAUGUAUUGGGAAAAGAAAGGGUUGUGUUGGUUAUGAUGAGUAAGGCUACCAUGAGGUGCUGGAGAGGAGAGGUGGAAUUUUAGCAUUGAAACAGAUAGUGAGGGUAAUAGUUGAUCCUCUUCUGCUUUAAUGUUUUACUUGACACAUCAGUUAAUUUGAAACGUAGGAGAUUUUGCAGUGUGUCACGAGUACAGAGUGACAAAGAAAUUAUGAGAGAAGUACAGGCAAUCAUGGCACGAAUUGUUUCAACUAAUACUUACUUGUCAUGCCUUGAUGAACCAUGUAGAGCACUAUUUGAGUUCAAUUUUUUAAAAGCUUUCCCAUGCCCCAAUAUGUGUUAAUGAUGUAUGAUUUGUUAGGGAUGAUACAUUAGUUUUUAAAUAAUAUUUAAAGCAACAAUGUCGUGAGGUUCCUUAGUUCAGAGAUGGAAUUUGGUAAACUAUCGAUAUUCGUAGAGGACAAAUUGACACAAAGGUAAGGCAUCUUUCUGAAGAAAGAAUAUGGGAUCUUCUUUAUAGGGUUAUGCUGCAAUAACAAGGUUGUGAGCAGUUGACAUUUUUUGGGCAGCACAUCUAUAGGAAUUUCUAAUAUGGAGUUAAGCAUUAGCGACACUUUCUCAAUAUCCGGACUCCAUUGCUCCUUUUUUGGUAACUCUUCUAAUUCCAAGCCUGCUUGUAUCAUAUAUCGAGGAUUUGUACUUGUGAUCGACAAUGCCAUGCGUCUCACUGCAUCAUGCAUUUUCACUUUUGCACUCGAGACAUUUUCCAACAAGCAGUUAUCUUCCAACUUUUUCAAAAUAGUAAGGCCCUUAUCUUCCAUUUCUUGUCUUCUAUCCAUUUCAUCUAUGAAUCUCUCAUCAAUCCAACACUCGAUUAGUUCAUCCUUACUAAUUUCAAAAUCUUCAGGAUAUAAUGCACAAUACAAGAAGCAAGAUUUUACUUUCCCAUCUUUCAAGUGAUCAAACCUAAAUUUCAAAUGCUUGACUACCUCAGCUUCCACUUCUUCCACUUUCGCUAUUCUCUCUUUCAAUCCCUUGAAUGCAUUUUUCCAAAUGCGAGGGUCAUCUUCUCCUUUCAUGGUCCCAGCUACCACAACAAUUGGAAGAGGUAGACCCGCACAUUCGUUGACAACAAGCUUCAAAGUUGGCAUUAUAGUUGGAUUUUGAACUAUGUUAGGUCCAACUUUAUUCAAGAAUAGUAUCAAUGCCUCUUCUUCUGAAAGGGGCUUUACUUUUAUCACCUUUCAACCCAUAUACUUACGGACAUGCUCUGAAUGGGUUGUCAGCACCAACUUGCAGCCAUUGCGGCCACUCGGCUCGGGGAUCCCAACUUCCUCUGGAGAGACUUUAUCCCACACAUCAUCUUGGAUUAGAGCAUGUUUUCCAGCUCUCUUCAGCAUUUCCGAUAAGAUUGCUGCUCGUCUAACCUUGUUUCCUUCUUUGGCCAAAUCUUCCUUCAAGUUCAAGGCACUUGCAAUGUCAUCUUGUAACUUGAUAACAUUAAAAUCCUUUGAUAUAGUAACCCAGAUUACGCUUUCGAAUCUUUGUUCUUUCAAAAGAUCAUUGUGGAUGUGCUUCAUGAUAGUGGUUUUACCCACACCGCCCAUUCCCCAAACCCCAAUCUUGCUCACCACCUCCUGCAUCAAACAUAACCAAAUCUCAUCUCUCACAGCUUUCUCACCAACUAGUUCUGAUGUUUCCAGUCGCAACCCACCACUUGGACCAUCAAUGGCAAGACCUUCAGAGGCAUUAGGAGCUUUAUCAAGAAAUUCCUUCAUUUCUCGAGUCUUUUCGUCAACCAGCUUCCCGUAGCAAGCAAGACAGAGAUAUCUCCCGUUACUGACUUUGUUUUCAACAACUUGUGCUUCCCUAAUCAUCUCUUUCACAUCUUUCAACCAAUUUUCAACCCCCUUUUGGUAUCUUCCCGGGAGGCCGAAGCUCUGCUUUCAAUUGCAGCUCUAUAUCUUCCAUUUUGCAAUUCAAUUCAUCUCUGAUCCUCUUGAAGUUUCUCACAUAAUCAUUCAGCUUUCUGUGAUAUUGCAAGUAUUUACACACAGGAGUUCUGAGACAAUUUGCAAUGCCAAGAACAGGCUCUACGUACUCCAUUGCUAUGUCCCUGCAAAGCAAUCAUAUACAACAGUAGCAGAUAAUAAAAACCGUGAAUGUAUUGGAUUUUUUAUGAAGUUUAGAUAUGUCAGUGUAAGCAUGAAAAGGAAACAUGAAUGCAACUUUCAAGCAAUGGCAGACAGAAGCAUGAUGAAACUCUGGUCACCAUUGUAUAUCGUUUACCGAAUCAAUAAUUAAUAAAAAAAUUUAAAUCUAUAAAAUCAUUUAAUAAAACAACAACAACAACAACUUAAGGGUAGUCUUCUGCUUUCAUAUUUAUUUGCAAAUUAAUAUAAUAUAAUUACUUAUAAUUAUAAUGAAUUCAUUGGUAAUGCUUUUAUGGGUUGCCUACCGUUCAAUUAAGGGAUGGACUUUAGGUUUUGGCUCAUAGGCUUGGGUUUGGGUCUAAAAUUAGGCCAUGCCUUCACAUUUAGAAAAUAAUUUGUCUUUAUUUAUUUAUUAUUUCAUAUAGCAUUUGGUGGAGAUUUUUAAAUUUAUUAGAUUCUAAUGUAACAUGAAUUGAAUAUGAUUUGAAGUAUUUAAUAUUCAGUUCAUUUUUAAAUAUUUUAUUUUUAACAUAUAUUAAUUCAACUAUUAUAAUAGAAAAUGUUCAAAUUAUAAUUAAAUUAUUUUUAUCAUAUUCAACAUAUAAUAUAACUUUACUUUAUGUGAUUAAUGCAAAGUAACAUUACUCACAAUAAUAACUCUAUUUUAUAUCAAUAAAAUUAGCACAAACUUUUUUACGUCUAAAGUUUUUUAACUAAUAAUUGUAAUUAUUGAUUAUAAUUAUAAUUGUAAUGAUCAUAUUUUUUAUAUAUUAUAUGUUUAGUGUUUCAAGUAAUAACUCUAUUUUAAAAUUAGCGCAACUUUUUAACUAAAAAUUGUAAUUAUUUUUAAAUGUGUAAUUAUCACGACUUCUAUUUUAAUUCAAUUUUUUAUUUUUAAAUAUAUUUUUUUAAUAUGAUGAAAAACAAAAAAAUAUUCUCCUCUAUUAAAAACAAUUUCUAAACUCGUGAUUUUAUAUUAUUUAUAUAUAAGCGUGUUAAAUAUUUUUUAUAUGGAUUUUAUUUCUUUUAAAGGCAUCAAUUUAAAAUAUUUGGUGAUUUCUUAUGACAUGUUCAUCAUAUAUGUAUUUAAAAGUAAACAUUUAUUUAUUCAAAAAUUUCUAAUACUUUUUUUCAUGAUUAUAAAUUUAAAUCUUAACAUUUAUUUAUUUUUUGUAAAUUUGACCUUUAUUCUUUUUUUUAGUAAGCUUUCAAAAAAAAAUCAAAUUUAUUUUUUCCUAAUGAAAAUGCUGACUAAAAUAUUAAUUUUUAACAAUGUGGUGUGGCAAACCGCAUGACAGUACAUGUGUAUUUCAUGUUGACAUAGCAUAUGUCACAUCAAUAAAUAAUUUAAAAAUUAUAAAAAUAUACAAAAACAAAAAUUUCAAAUUUCAAAAUUCAAAAAAUAUAUAUAUAAGGUUCAUGAAAAUUUUUAAAAAUAGCAUAAAGUACACGUGAAUUGCUAUACGGGCUAUCAUGUUUAAAAUUUUAACAUUUUAGGUAGUAUUUCCAUUAAAAAAUAACAAUUCGACUCUUUUUGAAAUGUUAAUAAUCAAAAUUGACUCUUUUUAAAAGGAAGAAUGCCAAAUUUAGCUUUUUAAAAAAAAAAGAAUAAGAGUCAAAUUGAAAAAAAUAUAAACGUUAAAUAUUAACAUAAUUUUAAAAGUUUUUGUUCCUACAAUUAGUUAUCAUAAAACAUUUAAACAUGUUCAUUAUUCCAUAAAUAAAUCUUGAUUAAGUCUUUAUACUUUAUAUUUAUCUAAAAUUUUUAAUUUUUUUUUUAUAAAUCACAAAGUGUCCUUGUCCAUUUUACAAUUUGGAUAUAGACUGUUCGGGUUGGGAGUGGUAUUCAAGUAAUUUGUAGCGUGAAGUGCAAUUAGAGAUUCAUUUCAUUUUUUUGGGCUAUCCAGAUUAAUAUUUUCAUUUAGAAUGAUUUAUGGUUGGCUUGGUUGAACCGAUAAAAUGAAGCAUCCAGGCUCCGUUUAAAAAAAAAAUCCAAUUGGUAAUACAUUUAUGAUUACCACACCUAUAUCAUAAUCAUAAAUCUUUUUUAUGACAAGUUCUAAAUAGAAAUAAGAAUGAUUUCAAACUACUAAUCAAUCAAAUAAUACUACUAAUCAAUCAAAUAAUAUAAGAAAUACGUUGAAUAUCUUGUGGAAAACAUGAAAGAAAAAGGAAUUAAAUUAAAAUAAAAAAGGAAAUGAAAUCAUAGCAAAAAGAUGUGGUAUUGGGUCAUUUGUCUUAUAUUCGCAAAUCAAAAUCUGGCGAAUCUUUAUUCGGAGUAGAGCAUAAACCUAAAAAAAUUGAAUAAAAAAUUGAUGGAAUCCAUCCAGGAACAAGAAAAUGACAUUGAGAUUUGGAUUGAAUCCCAAUGAAAAAAAUAGAUCAAUGAAAAGUUUGUACGAUAAAUUUAGCGAAUUUUUUUCUAUAUGAAUUUUUUUCUAUAUUAUAGAUUAUAGGAAAACGAGCCAAAACUUAGCUUUCUUUAAUUUCAUUUUGAAUUUCAGUUUAUUUAAAAAAUGUAAGAAAAAGUCCCUUCAUCAAAAAUUAAAAGUUAGAAAAGGCACACUAGAAAAAACUAAGGAUGGCUGGAAUCUACACUUUGAUUUUUUUUUUCACAAUUUUUAUUGAAUCGUAUGCAUCAAAAGAUGCCUGUACAGCUACUAAGAGAUACAAUUUUAUCCUAAUCAACUAACUUUAUCGAUAAAAAUUACUUUUUUUAGGCCUAGAGUUUGAUAGCGAGAUCUCGAGUCAACAUAUUGGCGUCUUAUGGUAUAUCUUAGUAUAGAGAACGAUACCAAAGAUCUAUAUUUGUUUAUAAACUCUCCUGGUGGAUAGGUAAUACCCAGAGUAGCUAUUUAUGAUACUAUGCAAUUUGUGCAACCAGAUGUGCAUAGAAUGUGCAUGGGAUUGGCUGCUUCAAUGGGAUUGUUUCUGCUGGUCGGAGGAAAAAUUACCAAACGUCUAGCAUUCCCUCACGCUCAGUGCCAAUGAGUUCUUUAUGUGAUGAAAAGGAAAAAUAAGUUUAUACCUUUGACAUAUAAAAUAUGAAAUAGUAAGUAAUAAUAUCUUGGCACUUCGAAUUCGAUAUGAAAUUUUUAUUUUUUUUCAAAAUAAUAAAUUAUGUAUCAAAAGAGUAGUAUGAGAGAAAGGGCAUUUCCAAUUUUAUCUUAGCUGUCGUGGGCUCAUCUGAGCGUCACAAACCUUUUUUUUUCUUCUCACACCAAAGGCUAUUAACAAUAUUUAUGUUAUAAAUAAAAGAGUAUAAAAAAAAGACUAUUUCUUUCUUUCUUUCUUUCUUCAAAAAAAAUAAAAAGAAAUUUUGGGAUUGUUGAAUCAUAGACGAAAUAAAUAUAUAAAGCAACGGAGCCAUCAUAGUAUUUUUGAACUUGUCCGAAUAAAAAAAGAAGGGUAGUAAUUGGAUUAUUUAGUGAUCUGGGUCUAAUAGACGCUCUCUAUAUUUUCUCUUUUUCUUUUUUCGAUGAAAGAAAAAAAGAGAAUUCCAUCGUAAAGUCGUAUGUAAUGCGCAAAAUAUGCUUUCAAUCACUUUAGCGGUUCAGCUGAUUGGAUACCUAAUCUGCCAUGAAAUUUCAAAUUUGUUCUUGAACAAUCUGAAUUUCCUUCAGAUGUUAUCCCUUAGAUUCCCUUGGAUAAUUGAAUUUUAAUUCCGAUACCUGACGUCGUUAUAAAAUCCUUCAUCAUAGUAUAGUAAGUUGAUGUUUUGGUUCUUAAGAUUGGUAACAUAAGCUGAUUAUGUCUGCAAUGACUCCCUUUCGAUUGCGGGCAAAUGCAUCCGAUAAACUGAGCUUGGAUUUUUCGACUUGAGAAGAAGGCUGUGACAAGCCAUCACUGAACCCUACCUUCCCAUAGCAACCCUUCUUCUUCUUGGUCAUCUUCCCUGUCAUUGUCAAGUUCUUGAGCUAUGAAAUCCUUAUUUAUGGCAGCUCUGAAACCUGCAGCUUCCAUUGCAGGAGAAGGAGAUAUAAAUAAUGGAGAGUGGUACUGAAAUGUUGAAAUCAGAGUAAGAUGGAAGUGGAAAAAGUCGAAGGACCACAAGCUAACAUUAAUUUGUCUCACGUUUUUUCUUUAUGCAGUUUAGGAUUUAAUCCAAAAAGAAACAGAUGUAAGAUAACAUUAAUUUAAUAAAUCCUAGCAGUCAACUACCUAUACCUAUACCUAAAUUCUUAAUUAACUAUUAGUGUUGUUAAGUUAUCGGAUAAUUACUUCCUCUCAUCUUAAAUAAAAAAAAAAUCAUUAUCUCCAGUUUUUUUUUUUUUCAUUUAGUUUAAAUCAUUCUCUGUUUUUCAAAAAUCUGAGGUAAAAUCAGAUCUUACAUGUGUCGUGGACGAGAACUAUUUGGUUGUAUUUUUCUUAUAAAAAUUGUGGUAAUUUACAAAUAUUUAGAAUUGUGUUGGGGCACUGCAAUUGUUCAUUAGUGUUUAAAUUAUUAUAACGUUGAAGGUAAAGCAAUCGUUUGAAAUCAAGCUAAUCUCAGAGGCGAUAGAAACUAUUUAAGACUACGCUAAUGUAAUAAAGCGAGCUAUUGUUCGAUAAAUGAUCUUUAGUGAAUUGGAAAUGAACCCUUGCUGGAAGGGUGCCUUUACUGUGAAUAAAUGCCUUUAUGAGUCAUACCGUGGAUUGUACUACUGAACUGAAUCCAAGUCUUGACUUAAAUUUUUUUUAUUGGUAUAUUGAUGGAUAGUGCUUUCGUCUGGCUUAUAUGAACUUUACUUUGUAGUUUGAUGGAUGGUAGUCAUUGACUUGACAAUAUACAAUGACUAAUGAGAUUUUUGAAAUUCAUGCCUUUUUAACUUUUUUAAGGCAAUAGUGUUUUUAUUCAUAGUUGACUUGUAUAAAUUUCACUUUGUGAUUUAGUGAGUAGUGUGUCUAUUGGCCCAACAAUCGAGGAAUAUAUAAUGCAUAUUAUCACGAGUUGUAUAGUUGUUGAUUGAAUGAUCUAGAGUUAUAUUUUUGGAGAUACAUAUGUCUCACUUUUGUAGAGAGCUACUAAAUGGUUCACAAAGGGGCCCUACUGUCGUUUUUUGGAGAUAUGCUUCAUCUCUAUGGAGAGUGAUUAAACGGUUUAUGGGGGGCUUGAUUGUCAAUUUUUGGUGUUAUGCCUCACCUCUAUGGAGAGCUGUUGGACAGUUCAUGAAGGGCCUUGACUGCUAAUUUUUGGAGAUAUGUCUCACCUUCGUGGAAAGUCGUAGAACGGUUCACUGAAAGACCCAACUAUCAAUUUUUGGAGAUAUGUUUCACCUCCAAGAAGAGCCAUUGAAUGGUUCACGGAGGGGCCCAAAGGUGCCUAAAUAUGAAAAGUUGAGAAAUCUAAAAGACUGCUAAACUAAAAUUUGAAUUUCAAAGUUUGAUAACUAAAAUAUAACUUCUUGAAAACUUAAUGGUUAAAAUUAUAGUUUAUCUUUUUUUUAAUUUAAAAAUAAUAAAAAUGUACAAUGCUAUGUAAUGUAUAAGAUGACAUGGCAAUUUCACAAGUUAUUGACAAGUGUUUGGUAUUGCCAUGUCAUCUUAGUCACUAACUAUUGGGUGGCUAAUCAUUAGUAUUGAUGUCUAAAUAUAUAAUUUUAAUAUUUGGGUCAUCAAAUUCAAAUAUAUAAAAUAGGCAACUUUAUGUAAAUAUGAUAUAAUAGUAAUGACUAUAGCAUAAAAAUAAUUUAUUGAUUACAAUCCCUAUUUUAUAAACUAAAAUAUAAUUGUACUACAAGUUCUAUAAUUAUAAAUAGUUAAUUUAUAAUUUUAUAUUAUUUAAAUUAAAUUCGAGUUGGACCAACUCGAGAUAUGGUGAGGUCUGUAGUCAACUUGUAUUCCAUAUUAUUUACUUUAAAAGUGGAAGCGUAUAUAAAUUUACGAAAUAAUAGACUAGUGUUGAAUGUAAUAAAAGACCAUAAUAAUAUUUGAUUCGAUAUCAUAUCAAAAUAAGUUUAUAACUUAAAUGUUUUAAUUGUAAAUAUGAAUAUAUAGAAGGUUAUUUUGGGAAUUACAUAUAUAUUUUAAAAGAAAUAAAGUUAAUUUUAAGAGAAGAAAAAGAAAAUAGAAGGAAUGAUAAGAGAGGGAAAAUGUUUAAAAAGUGGAGGCAGUUUGAUUUCUUGUUUACCUUUGCCUCUUAACCUCUUCCUUCCAUCAUUCCUUUUCUCCUCUCUUUUGCACUAUCCUUCUUUCCCACCUACACUUUCAUCUUUCUCUUCAACAUCAUCACAAUUAUACUUCCAAUUUUAUUCAUAUUGAGAAAUUAGAUUUAUCAAUAUGAAAAAAUAAAGUAUACCAUACACGGUACAUACACAUACCUCUUAUCAGGUCGAAGCGAAGAACAUUUUUAAAGUUUGGAUGGUCAUCCCACUCUAACGAUUCCCACCAUUCUGUGUUUGACGUGAUGGUAAGAGAAGGUGGAGCAUAUGCAAAUGGCUGCCCAUUGUUGAAGUAAUGGUCAGCAUGCAGCAACCAAGACUGUCAAAGGCACUACAUGCAGAAGCUGCUGGUUCACCUAGUCAGCAAGCUGUUUAUGUUUCAUUUUGUAAUUUUAAGUUAGAGUAAUGUAACUUAGUUGCUUUAUAACUAUGUUAGGUUUAUGUUUGAUGUAAUUUUGAUGUUGACUGAGCUGAUAAAUCAGCUUUGUUUGUUUAUUCAAGCUAAUUAGCACAAGUUACUAUGUGUAUUAGUGGUAGUAGGUGAAGUUUAGGUCAACCUACUGUUUUGUCAAGAUUGUAAACUUGUUUUAUGUAUUGGCUUUAUGCCAUAUUUAGUAUGAUGAAUGAAUUCAAGAAGUUAUCAUCCAUAUGCUCUCCAUUUUUAGUUUUUCUUAAAAAUCCAUUUGAGUUUUCUGCUUUGUUUCUCCUACAAGUCACGAGACUUGUCAUACAAGCAUUCUGCUGAAGCUUGCUGCUGCUGCCUCUUGCUCCAACAAUUGGUAUCUAGAGCCACAUUCUUAGAGGACCUGUUGUAGUUCAGUAUCAAAACGAUGGCAUCAUCAGGUUUUUCACCAGCUUCACCACCUAUCUUCAAUGGAGAGGGCUUCAACAUUUGGGCAGUUAAGAUGAGGACUUACCUGCAGGCAUUCGACCUAUGGGAAGUUGUUAACUCAGAUGCUGAGCCAGCACCUCUUCGAGCUAAUCCAACAGUUGCUCAAAUAAGGCAACACACUGAUGAAAGGACAAAAAGGCACAAGGCCAUGUCAUGCAUACAGAAUUGUGUGACAGAUGUGAUCUUUAUGAGGAUCAUGGCCUGUGAGACACCAAAGGAGGCUUGGGACAAGCUGAAAGAAGAAUUUCAAGGGACUGAGAAAACAAGGCAACAACAGCUGCUCAAUUUGAGAAGAGAUUUCGAAAAUCUCAAAAUGAAAGAGGAAGAAACAGUUAAGCAGUACUCAGACCGGAUUAUGGCUGUUGUAAACAGCAUAAGGCUCCUAGGAGAGCAAUUCAGUGAAGCUAGAAUGGUUGAGAAAGUCAUGUCCACUCUACCAGAGAGGUAUGAAGCUAAAAUUUCAUCCCUCGAAGACUCAAGGGACUUGACAACUAUCUCCUUAACUGAGCUAAUCAAUGCCUUGUAUGCACAAGAGCAAAGAAGAGCUAGCAGACAAGAGGAGCACCAGGAAGGGGCUUUUCAAGCCAAAGAAGCCUCGAGCAUCAAAACUCAUAAAGGCAAAAAGUUCUGGAAAAACAGGCCUAAGCCUGAUGCUGCUAAGAGCAGUGACCAACUCUGCAUACAUUGUAAAAGAGCUGGUCAUCCAGAAGAUAGAUGCUGGUUUAGACCAGAUGCAGUAUGCCAACACUGCAAGAAAAAAGGCCAUGUUGAAAAGGUUUGCAAGAAUAGAAGCAAACCAAGACAGAAUCAAUUUCAGCAACAAAAGGUGGAAGCUCGAGUAGCUGAAGAAAGCAGUGAUCAAGAAGAACAUGUUUUUGCUGUGUCAUGUGCAGCAAAUCAGAAGAAGGGUUCAAAGGGCUGGCUUUUAGACAGUGGGUGCACAAACCACAUGUCACCAGAUGCAACUAUCUUCAAAACCCUGGACAGAACCUGCAAAACCAAAGUAAAAAUUGGAAAUGGUCAGUUAAUCAAUACUGAAGGAAGAUGAGAUGUGCUGAUUCAUACUUCUACAGGUGGCAAAAUCAUUUCAAAUGUACUUUUGGUACCUGAAAUCGAUAGGAACCUUCUCAGUAUAACUCAACUACUUGAGAAAGGUUACUCAGUUGUUUUCAAGGAGAAAGAAUGUCAAAUUUUUGAUCCAAGUGGAUCAAAUCUUAUAACAGUCACCAUGACUGAUAAAUGUUUUGAAGUAGACUGGCCAAAUGACUCACAUUCAGCCUGCAUAGCCUCCACUGAUGACUCGAGACUCUGGCAUCAGAGGCUUGGACAUGCAAACUACAAAUCCAUAGCCCGCAUGGUCAAUGAAGGUCUGGCAGAAAAUUUCAUUGAUUCAGUGAAGAAUGAUGAGCUUUAUGAGAUAUGUCAGCAAGGAAAAUUGGCAAGAUUGCCAUUUCCAACAAGCACAACAUGGAGAGCAUCAGAGAAGCUCCAGCUUGUGCAUACAGAUGUGUGUGGACCAAUGAAGACUGAGUCUCUCAAAGGAAGCAGGUACUUUAUUUUAUUUAUUGAUGACUUAACAAGAUACUGCUGGAUUUAUUUUCUAAAACAGAAAUCAGAAGUACCAUCUAUGUUCCUGAAGUAUAAGGCUGCUGUUGAAACUGAGUCUGGUUGCAAACUUAGAGCAAUGAGGUCAGAUAAUGGAACUGAGUACACCUCAGCUCAGUUCCAAGUCUACUGUGAAGAAGCAGGUAUCAAACACCAGUUGACUAAUGUGUAUACACCCCAACAGAAUGGGGUCAGUGAAAGGAAAAAUAGAAGCUUGAUGAACAUGGCAAGAUGUCUUCUGUUUGAGAAGAAUUUGCCCAAAAGUCUGUGGGCUGAAGCUGUUAACACAGCAGUUUAUCUCCAAAACAGGCUCCCAACCAAGGCUCUGGCUGAGAAGACUCCAUUUGAAGCCUGGUUUGGGUUUAAGCCAUCACUGGCUCAUCUCAGAACCUUUGGUUGUCUGUGCUAUACUCAAGUUCCAGCUGAGAAGAGAAGCAAGCUAGAUAAAAGAGCUCAAGCAGGGAUCCUGAUCGGCUACAGCUUGGUUAAGAAGGGCUACAGAAUUCUAGAACCUGCUACAAACAAGAUAUUGGUUAGCAGGGAUGUUUUCAAUGAAAAAGGACACUGGAAUUGGGAGAAGGCUGAACCAGAGGCAGUGGCUGAAGAUCUGGCAGUGGACCAAGUUGAAAAUGAUGAAAACACACCUGAAAUGGAUGUAGAUGAUGUUCCAAUCAGAGGCACUCGAUCACUGACUGAUGUUUAUGAAAGAGCACAAGUGGCUACUGUUGAACCAAGUUGCUUUGAAGAAGCAGAAAACCAGGAGGACUGGAAGCAAGCAAUGAUUGAAGAAAUCAGAAUGAUUGAAAAGAAUCAGACCUGGAGUCUGGUUGAUAAACCAACAAACAGGAAGAUUAUUGGUGUCAAAUGGGUUUAUCGAGUAAAGAACAAUGCUGAUGGUAGCCUAAACAAGUUAAAGGCUAGAUUGGUUGUGAAAGGCUUCAGUCAAAGGUAUGGAUCAGACUACCUGGAAACCUUUGCACCAGUGGCCAGGCUAGACACUAUUAGACUGCUAGUUGCCUUAGCAGCACAAAAACAGUGGCUGAUACACCAACUUGAUGUAAAAUCAGCAUUUCUGAAUGGAUUCCUUGAAGAGGAGAUUUAUGUGGAGCAACCUCAAGGUUUCAAGGUGUCUGGCAAAGAAGAUAUGGUGUACAAGCUCAACAAAGCCUUGUAUGGCUUGAAACAGGCUCCAAGGGCCUGGUAUAGCAGAAUAGAUGGCUAUCUGACCAGUCAAGGAUUUGAAAGAAGUCUUAGCGAGCCAACUCUGUAUGUUAAAUCAACUAGUGCUGAAACUCAGCUCAUUGUCUCAAUAUAUGUCGAUGACCUACUGGUGACAGGAGGAGAUCAUGAGAUGCUAAGCAGUUUUAAAGUCAAAAUGCAACAGCACUUUGAAAUGUCAGAUUUGGGAUUGAUGUCUUACUUCAUAGGCAUGGAAGUAACUCAAGCUAAGAAUGGGAUUUGGCUAAGUCAAAAGACCUUUGCUAUGAAGGUUCUCAACAAAUUCUCAAUGGAGAAUUGCAAAGCAACCAGCACACCAGUUGCUGUUGGAGAAAAACUCUCGAGCCAAGACAAGCAUGAAAAGGUUUGUGAAACAACCUAUCGAAGUCUAGUUGGAUGUUUGUUGUAUUUGACUGCUACUAGACCUGACAUAACGUAUGCUGUGAGUCUACUCUCGAGGUUUAUGCAUUGUUCAAAUGAAAGUCAUUUUAGAGCUGCAAAAAGGGUUCUAAGAUACAUCAAAGGAACUUUGUCCUAUGGAAUGCAGUUUACCAAGGCUGAGAACUUGAGGCUAGUUGGAUAUUGUGACAGUGAUUGGGCUGGUUCUUUGGAUGACAUGAAGAGCACUACAGGUUAUGCAUUCAACAUAGGCUCUGCUAUGAUAUGCUGGAGCUCAAAGAAGCAAGGAGUAGUGGCUCAGUCGACUGCAGAAGCAGAAUAUGUGGCUGCUGCUGCAGCAGUCAAUCAAGCCAUAUGGCUUAGAAAAAUUUUGAAAGAUAUCAAUCAUGAGCAAAAGGAAGCAACUGAGAUAAUGUGUGACAACCAAUCAGCAGUUGCUAUUGCAAAGAAUCCUGUUUUUCAUGGAAGGACCAAGCACUUCAACAUCAAACUUCAUGCAGUUCGGGAAAUGGAACAAGCUCAUGUUGUUAAGCUGAUACAUUGCAGUUCUGAAGAGCAAAUUGCUGAUAUUUUAACAAAAGCACUAAGUGUUUCCAAGUUUCAACACCUGAGAACUAAUAUGGGAGUUUGCAACAUGCUAACCAAGGAGGAGUGUUGAAGUAAUGGUCAGCAUGCAGCAACCAAGACUGUCAAAGGCACUACAUGCAGAAGCUGCUGGUUCACCUAGUCAGCAAGCUGUUUAUGUUUCAUUUUGUAAUUUUAAGUUAGAGUAAUGUAACUUAGUUGCUUUAUAACUAUGUUAGGUUUAUGUUUGAUGUAAUUUUGAUGUUGACUGAGCUGAAAAAUCAGCUUUGUUUGUUUAUUCAAGCUAAUUAGCACAAGUUACUAUGUGUAUUAGUGGUAGUAGGUGAAGUUUAGGUCAACCUACUGUUUUGUCAAGAUUGUAAACUUGUUUUAUGUAUUGGCUUUAUGCCAUAUUUAGUAUGAUGAAUGAAUUCAAGAAGUUAUCAUCCAUAUGCUCUCCAUUUUUAGUUUUGCUUAAAAAUCCAUUUGAGUUUUCCGCUUUGUUUCUCCUACAAGUCACGAGACUUGUCAUACAAGCAUUCUGCUGAAGCUUGCUGCUGCUGCCUCUUGCUCCAACACCCAUUGCCAACAAGGGGAACAAAUGGAGGAAUUCUCUUCAGUUUAUCACAUCUAAUAACAGCGAUUAACUUGAGAGAAUCACAAAUCAUCACUCCACUUUUGCUACAAAUGCUCUUCAAAUUUGGUAAUUUCCGGAAUGCCAACACUCUCAAUUUGGGAAGAUGGAAUUGGAUUAAUGCAUCACCCCUUUUUUCUUCAACUUCUGAUGUUGCUGCUCCCAAUAUUUCUACUAUCUCAUCACAUUCUGACACCCAAAUUUGUUCCAGGUUUUGGAGGUUUGGAAGCAACCAAUGUGGAAGCAACGUCUUCAUACUUGAGCAUCUCUGUACAUCAAUUUCCUUAAGAUGGGAAAAGGUGGUAGACGGAGCCAAUGUUGAUGUUGUUGCUGAACCAAUUCCUGCAUCUUUCAUAAUAAGGGCACUCAACUUUGGCAGAUCACGAAGAUCCAAUAUCUCGAGGCUCUGAAGUGGAUGAGCGGAAGAAGAGGCAAAAGCGGACAGGGAAACAACACACUCUAUCCCUUUACAAUCAUAAAUCCUCAAGUCAAUCGCAUUUUUCAAGGAAAAAUUAUCAUCGACUAAGUUUCUCAAAUAGUGGCACUUUACAAUGUUCAACUGUUGAAUUUCAAUUGGGUGCAUAAUUAAAUCACCUUCCCAAUUCUGGACUCCUCCAAUUGUUACUGUUUUAUCUCUUGCAGCAGGCAUAAUAGAUGAGCCCAUAUGUAAAUGGUACUUGAUGAGAUUUUUCUUACUUUUUUGCACUGAGGAGAUGAACUUAUUGAAUUCACUGAUGUAUUCGAAACGUCCGGUGAAGCAUUCCAACUUCUUCAAUGGUUCCAUCUCCUCUGCUUUUAGACUUGUUUUUUCAUUGACCACAUUAAAACUCAAGUGCUGAAGGUGAACGAGUUUUGGUAAAAGUCCAGCGGGUAUCUCUUUCAGAGUGCCCACUUGAAGAUCAAGAUAUCUUAGCUUUAUCAGCAUAUCCAUUCCUUCAGGGACUUCCUCAAUUUUAGUCCCACAAAGAUCCAACUUCUUCAAUUCUUGAAGCAUCGAAAGAUAUGGCAGAUCUCUUAUUUGAUAACAGCCACGAAGCAACAAUGUUGUGAGGUUCUUUAGUUCAGAGAUAGAAUUUGGUAAACUCUCGAUCUUUGUAAAAGACAAAUUGAGAACACUAAGACAAGGCAUGUUUGUGAAGAAAGAAAUUGAGAUAUUCUUUAUAGGGUUGUUCUGCAAUAACAAGGUUGUGAGCAGUUGACAUUUUGUGGGAAAUACAUCUAUGGAAAUUUCUGAUAUGGAGUUAUACAUAAGUGACACUUUCUCAAUAUCCGGACUCCAUUGCUCCUUUUCUGGUAACUCUUCUAAUUGCAAACCUGCUUUUAUCAUAUAUCGAGGAUUCAUUCUUGCGAUCGACAAUGCCAUCUCUCUCACUGCAUCAUGCAUCUUUAUGCAAGGUUGACCAAGUACAUUGGUAAUAUUUUCCAACAAGCAAUUCUCUUCUAACUUCUUCAAAAUAACAUGGCCCUUUUCUUCAUUUUCUUGUCUUGUAUCCAUAUCAUCUAUGAAUCCCUCGUCAAUCCAGCACUCAAUUAGUUUAUCCUUUUCAAUUUCAAAAUCUUCGGGAUAUAAUGCGCAAUGUAAGAAACAAGAUUUCACUUUCUCGUCCUUUAAGUGAUCGAAGCUAAAUUUCAAACGCUCUAUCACUUUAGCUUCCACUCCUUCCACUUUUUCUAUUCUUUCUUUCAAUUCCCUGAGUGCGUUUUUCCAAAUAAGAGGGUCCUCUUCUCCUUUCAAUGUACCAGCUACGACGACAAUUGUAAGAGGUAGACCCGCACAUUCCUUGACAAUAAGCUUCAGAGUAGGCAUUAUAGUUUGAUUUUGCACUAUGUUAGGCCCAACUUUACUCAAGAAUAGUGUCAAUGCCUGUUGUUCUGAAAGGGGCUUCACUUUUAUCACCGUGCAACCCAUAUACUUACAGACAUGCUCCGAACGGGUUGUCAACACCAACUUGCAGCCAUUGCUGUCACUCGGCUCAGGGAUCCCAACUUCUUCUAGAGAGACUUCAUCCCACACAUCAUCUAGGAUUAGAACAUGCUUUCCUACUUUCUUCAGCAUUUCUGACAAGAUUGCAGCUCGUCUGAGCUUGUCUCCUUCUAUGGCCAAAUCUUCCUUCAACUUCAAAGCACUUGCAAUAUCAUCUUGUACCUUCAUUACAUUGAACUCCUUUGAUAUGGUAACCCAGAUUACUGUUUCGAAUCUUUGUUCUUUCAAAAGAUCAUUGUGGAUGUGCUUCAUGAUCGUGGUUUUACCCACACCGCCCAUCCCCCAAACCCCAAUCUUUUUUACCACCUCUUGCAUCAAACAUGCCCGAAUCUCUUUUAUGGCAGCUUCCUCCCCAACUAGUUCUGAUGUUGGCAGUGGCAACCCACCACUUGGACCAUCCAUGGCAAGAGCUUCAGAGGCAUUAGGAGCUUUAUCAAGAAAUUCCUUCAUUUCUCGAGUUUUUUCAUCAGCCAGCUUCCCGUUGCAAGCACGACAGAGAUAACUCCCGUUACUGACUUUGUUUUCAACAACUUGUGCUUCCCUAAUCAUCUCUUUUACAGCUUUCAACCAAUUUUCAACUCCUUUCUUUGGUAUCUUCCCCUGAGGACGAAGAAGCUCUGCUUUCAAUUGCAGCUCUAUAUCUUCCAUUUUGCAAUUCAAUUCAUCUCUGAUCCUCUUGAAGUUAAUCACAUAAUCGUUCAGCUUUCUGUGAUAUUGCAAAUAUUUACAAACAGGAGGUCCAAGACAAUUUGCAAUGCCAACACCGGGCUCUACGUAUUCCAUUGCUCUGCCCCUGCAACGCAAUCAUAUAUGUUAGUGUAUAGGAUUUUUGAAUAAUUUUUUAUAUGUUAGUGUAAGCAUGAAAAGGAAGCAUAAAUGCAAUGGCGUUUAUUAGAUGGAGCUAUGGAUAGGUGGCAGACAGAAACAUGAUGAAAUUCUGGUCACCAGAGUUAACCUCUCAAUGUAUAUAAAAUGCUAGAUUCAAGUUUGCAACAGUUCAUUACGGAAUACUAAGAGCUAAAAUGUUCAACAGUCUGAGAUUUCUAUCUAUGAUAGAUUAUGUUUUCCGGUCAUCCUAUCCUGUCUUAAAAUCUAAAACUGUUGAUAAUCAGUAGAGGAAAUCAUUGCCUUAUUACCUGACUUAGUGGCUGAAAUGUGUUGAGAGAUUAGAACUGAAAAUGAAGCAGUGAAGUUGACUUCCUUGACUAUCUUACAAAGCUAACAGAUAAUAAAAAACAAUCAUUGCAUAGUCAUGAAUGAAGCAAGGAAAAGCAUGUCAUGAAUGAAGCAAAUGAAAGAAAAUUACCUUUGACGGAAUGCUUGAAAUUUGGUGAUAGACCUUGGAGAUCAAAACAAAAUAAAAACAGUGAAGAAGAAAGAAUGUUGUGGGUAGAAAGGCAGAACGAUUAAGCAAAGAAAAGCAUGUCAUGGAAGAAGCAAAUGAAAGGAAAGUAGGUAGAGUGGAUGGUUGAAAUUUUGUGAAAGAAGAAAGAAUGUUGUGGGUAGGAAGGCAGAAGUAUUAAGUAAGGAAUCCCAUCUUUUUGUACUUUUCCUUUGCUUCUGCCAUUGUAGUUGGCAUUUUGGGUAUUUGAUUCUCAGCAGUUGUGUCGAUCAGCUGAUUUACAAUUUGAUUCUUCUUUAAAUCUGUAAUAAUUCACUACUUGAUAAUAAAACCUCUAAUCUGCCAUGUCCUCUCCAUUCAUUCUGGACAUUACUAACAAGUUUUGCAGUCAUCUUGGUGCUUAAUUGUAACAACAUCAGCAGCAGCAGCAGCAUCAUAAUAAUGGGAAAGUAUGGUAUAAGAAUGCCUAAUUAUAUGUCACAACUUGAAAUUAAAUAUACUAGUCGGCAUCCUAUAAAAAAAAAAUUAAGCAAAAUCAUUUGUUUUCUGUUUUUUACCUCUUCUAUUUCUUGACAUAGCUUUUACAUUAUAAGAAAAGAUAAAAUUUUAUAUAAAAUUUAUUUUUACAAUUUGGUUUUUGAAAAAUAAUUUAAAUGUAAUGAAAUUUUGAAUUGAGUUUGAAAAAGAUAAUUUUUUGGUAUAUUUUGUAUUCUUUUUACUAAAAAAUGGCAUCCGGUUAAAUUUUAUAAGCCUCUGUAAUAUGAGUUCUAGAUGUUCUUCAAGGGCAUGAUACUCAACUUGAUAAUAUUACUAUUUUAGUUUCGAGAAACAUUGAGAAAGCAUGUAAUGAUUUAACUUGUUUUGGUUUUGUUUUGUUUUUAAUUUGUUAAUGGAUUCUAUUGAAUGGUAAUUUUCUUUAUUUUUCAUACAAUUUAGUUCUUCAGCAACAUAUUCAAGAUUUUAUUUUUCUACAAUUUUUAUAUACAUUUUUUAUUUUAUAAAUAAUUUUGAGUUUUUUUUAAUAAUCUUUAUAAAAAAUCAAGGUCAAAUUGAUAAAAAUAUAAAAAUUGAGAGCUAUAAUUAUUAUACCAAUUGAAACAAAUUCCACUUAACAGUUGGGUGAAAACAAAAUUUCAAAAACAUUAGUGACGAAAUUGUAAUUUUUUCUAGUUAAGUGAUAAAAAUAAAAACUUACCCAUAAUUGAAUCACUAAUGGUUUAAUUUACCCUAAAAUUCUUUUAAAAAUAGAAAAGAAAAACAUUAAGCAAAAUUAUUUGAUCUCUGUUUUUUACCUCUUCUGUUUCUUGACAUAACUUUUACAUUGUAAGAAAAGAUAAAAUUCUGAAUAUAAUUUACUUUUACAAUUUGGGUUUUGAAAAAUAAUUUAUAGGUAAUGAAAUUUUGAAUUGAGUUUGAAAAAAAAUUGUGGUAUAUUUUGUAUUCUUCUAAAUAAAAAAAAUAGCAUUAGGGUCAAUUUUAUAAGCCUCUAUAAUACCAAUUCUAGAUGUCGUUUAAGACCAUGAAACUCAACUUGAUAAUAGUAAUGAUUCGGUUUUGAGAAAUAUUGAGGAAUCAUGUAAUGUUCUAACUCUUUUUUUUUUUGGUUUUGUUCUCUUUUUAAUUUGUUAUCGAAAUCUAUUCUCCAUCUUCUAAUAUUCCUAGAUUGUUUUAUGAAAAAUUACUUCUUUAUAGAAAUCGGUAUUCUUGCUAUGCUCCAUUCAAUGCUCAGUGAAUUCUUUUUGUUAGUGCAAAACGUUGACAAUCAUUAGGUUUUAUUGUAUCCUCAAGGUCAAUUUAUGAGUAACUCUUUUGCACAGCAAUAAAUAGGUGGGAGUAAAUAGAACUUUAAAAUAGUGGUAUCGAUACACGUAUUGAAACCUUUUUUUAAUUUCUCAUAAAUUCAUUUGUAUCACCACACACUAACAAUAGCAGUUAUGGGAACAAUAAUCAAAGAAAAAAAGCAAUAUUAUGAGUCAAUUUUUAUGGUGUUCGGGGCAACUUUUAUUUUUAAGUUCCACAAAGGUAAAGUAAAUUCCAUCUUUUCUUAUUAUUAGUUUUUUCCUUUGCUGUCUUCCAUUAUUGUUGGCCCCAUUCUUCUCUACUAUGAUUAUAAAAUAUAAUAUUUAUAAAUCAUAUGUAUCUAAAUUAGAGCAAAUAGCAGUCUUAUGAUUUAUAAUGCAACAUUUCAUGUUGCCUCAGAUUUCAAUUCUUUUAGUCUCCUCCAUGUUCCACCUUCAAGAAAAAACAAGAGAGAAUGAACCUAAAUUUGGAUACCUAAUCCUUCCUCUAUGGAAUCGGAGUUACCUUCAGAUUUUAAUUCCAAUACCGACAUUGUAACGCCCUGAUUAUUUAACUUUGUUUUUGUGAAUUUUAUCACAAAUAUGUAUUUGCUUCAAUGGCUAAGUGUUUUGAUUGUGUGUUUGAUGUCUUGAGUUCAAGUCCUAUUUUUAGAAAUUUUUGCUAUUUGUGAUCCUAGCCUAUUCAUUGGCGGUUUGGCUUAUAUUCUAUUGCAAGUCAAGUUAUAUUAGAAUGAGCUUCUAUGUUUGAGCAGUAAGGUGUUAGCUUGUCUUGAGGUCUUGUGUUCAAAACUCUGUAUAAAUGUGAAUUGGAUGUGGAUUGAAGUGUCGGAUUUGGUGGGAUUAGGUUGAUUAGUGGGUUAGUGGAGAGUUGGGGGAAAUUAGUGAUAUUUUAUUAAAAUUUUAUUUUUAAUUUUUUAAUUUUAAUUUUAUUCUUCUUUUCCGCAAAAAAUUUCCUCUCUUUCUAUUUUAUUUUAUUUUAUUUUAUUCAAAAUAUCCAGUAAAACUAUUUUAAGAAAUUGAAGUUACCAUAUUAAAAUUCAAUAUACAAAACAAAGUCAUGUAAAUUUUUAAAGCAUUUCAUGUUGUUUAAGGCUUCUAAUUUUAUUGUGUAAAAAUAAAAACCUAUUUGCAAAAGUUUCAAAAUAUGCCCAAAACUCUUUAAUUACCGUGUUGCGACCUCAUGAUUCCCAUGUGGCAACAUCGGCCCAAUAUCGGUAUUGCAAAUUUUCAAGUACUUGUGUUGGACACUUUGACACCCUCAUACACAUACCAAAUCGAGAUUUCAUGCUAUUCUCCCUAUUUUAACAUGUCAUAUAACUUACAUUAACAUGUUUUGACAUCUCAAGUAAAUGACUAUGCUGUCAUGCAACCCUAAAGUCACAAUUCAAUUACUCAAAAUGUAAAUUUUGUAUUUUAAGCAUUUCUAAGUGCAUAAUUGAUACAUAACAUACUAUAUGGUCAUUUUGGACUUACCUCAAUACGCAACAAGCCAAUCCACCUGCAAUUUACAUGUUAGCCAAUAAACAAGUACACAACACCUUACUAAUUCAACCAAUAACAUUCAUUCUCAAAUCUUCCAUUGAAAGCAUUCAUUCGAACCAAUUUUAAAAGUUCUAAAAACCAUUUUAAACAACCCAUAUUGUCCAUUAAUAAAUCAUUAACAGUUCAAAGUCUAAAACCCUCUAGAUUAGUCCCACAUUGCCUUCCUUAUUGAUUUAAAAACACACCAAACGUAGUCAAGUUAAAAUGUCUUGCUUUGGAUCACUUGGCAGCUCACUUCUCCUCCUCGUUUAAGCUAUAUCUCUGCACUGUUAAAUAUAAAAGAGUGUGAGCUUUUUCAAGCUCAGUGAGUGCUUAGAGAUUGCCACAAGUAAUCACGAUAUCCAAAGUUAAAAGAAAGCAUACAAUCACAAUUAAUCACGGUGAGCAAUGAAGCAUAAUUCAUAGCAUUCACAUUAAUAUGUUGCCAGAAUGUGAUUAUGAAGCAUAUGUACAAAAUAUAUUGCAUUGGGUAACCAGAUUUCCAAAUACAACCAAUAUAAUGUGUAGCGUAAAGCUAUCACCGUCCAAACACAUCCACUUAAACAUGUAUACUUAUUGUUUUAUGCACACUUUCACAUAUCACACAACUCAUGUUCAUAUCACAUAUUCAAGUCUCAUAUCAUGCACUUACAAGUGCUCACAUUAUGCUCAAAUAGUCACAACAUAUAGAUCUCAUAUAGUGUAUAUAAAAUCAGCAAGACUCAUAUCAUAUUCAGUUAUAAACACAUAACAUUUUUAUUGUCAUCUCAAUAUACAACACAUAACAUAUUACAUUUAAGCAUCAUUUGCAAAUCAUCAUUAGUUUAGGUAGAAACACUUACUCUUGAAAAUUGGACAGUAUGGAUGUGUUUGGAUAGCUAGAAAAUCAUUAAGGAUGAGUUAAUUUUGAGAGAAAAUAUUAGAGUUGAAUUUGGGGAAAUUUUGAUUGUGAAAUUCAAUAGAGGGAAGGAUCGUUGGGUUCAUAAAGAAACGGGGAAGAUGAGUAGCUUUUUUUUUUUUUAAAUAAGGAAAAAUUGCAAUUUAAAAACUUCCAGUUUUCCUUUAUUUUUCAAUUCAGACCUUAGUUUAAUUAAAAUACAUUUUUCUCAAUUAUUUUCAAACUCAAUAUUUUAAAAAAAUCCAUUUUAACAAAAUUAAUUCUCGAACACCCAAUUUUAAUUUCUUAACAUAAAAUUAUUAAUUAUAUUAAUUUUAAUAUUUUAUUUAAUUAAUUCCUAAUUAUUGUAAUAAUCUAACUUAAUUACGAUUUUCGAUUCAUUAACCCCCGAUUUACUAUCCCAAUUUUUGGGAUGUGACAUGACAACAUUAUGUAAAUAUGAUAUAAUAAUAAUCACUGCAAGUUCUAUAAUAUGAUAUCUAAUGGGUUAGUUUUUAAAAUUGCAUAUUUUAAAAUUAAAAAAUUAAAAAAAUGUUAAUUUAUAAUUAUUUCUAACUUAUAUGCUUUUCAAUGUUAAAACUUUUAUUAGAAUUAUUAGUAAAAAAAUGCAUAAAUGAUUGAUAGCAUAAUCAUUUUAAAGACAAAUAAUUAUAAAUUAAUUAUAUAAAAGAGAUAACAUUUUGUACUUUGUUAAUAUAAAAAGGGUAAACACUUCAUAACAUAGUAAAUUAUGGAUAAAAUAAUAAGAAAUAAUAUAGUAUAAAAUUAAAUAAUUAAUAAUAUAAUAUAAUAUAGUAAUAAAAUAUAUAAAUAUCAUUAUUUUUAAUGCCUAAUCGUAUAUACAUCAUUUUAAUUAAUAAAAAAAUUAUAAUAUUAUAAAUAAAACCAUGAUGAUAGUUUUGUUUCACCUUAAAUCAUUUUGAUUAAAAUAUGUUUAUAUUUUAUUAAUAUAUUAAUAAAAAUGGAAUAUAUUUUAAUUAAUACAUGAUCUUAUUUAUUAUUUAUUAUAUGUUAUUUUUAGACAUUAAAUACAUGACUUCCACACGCAUAUGCGUCUGAUAAGAUUUCUAGCGUUAUUUGAACCUUUCAGACAAUAAAAUUUUUAAUUAUUAGACUCUUGAUAUACUCUUAAAAACAAUCUACAUUUUUUUUUCUAAAUCUAGACCCAUUUUUGGCCUAGCUCGGUCAAUCCAAAAAAUAACUCAUUUUCCUGUUCAAAAAUAAUAAAAUAAUUUUAUAUUAAUAUUUUUAUAUUUAAAUAUAAAUUUAAAAAUAUUUUUAUUAUUUAAAUUGAAUUCGAGUUGUACCGUCUCAAGACAUGGAAGGGUCUAUAGCCAACUUCUAUACCAUAUAUAUAUUUUUUUACUUUUAAAAUUUGAAGCGAAUAUAUAUUAUUAUAUAAAAUUGAAAUUUAUAAAAAUUUACGAAAUAAUAUAUUAGUGUUAAAUGUGAUAAAAGAUCAUAAUAAUAUCAAAAUAAGUUUAUAACUUAAACGUUUUAAUUAUAAAUAUAAAAAUUUAGAAGAUUAUUUUGGGAAGUACAUAUAUAUAUAUAUAUAUAUGAGAAGAAAAAGAGAAUAGAAGAAAUGGUAAGAGAGGGAAAAUGUUUAAAAAGUGGAGGCAGUUUGAUUUCUUAUUUACCUUUGCUUCUUAACCUCUUCCUUCCAUCAUUCCUUUUCUCCUCUCUUUUGCACUAUCCUCCCCCCUCCACCAACCCUUUCAUCUUUCUCUUCGCCAACAUCAAAAAUAUACAUCAAAUUUUAUUAAUAUGGAGAAAUUAGAUUUAUCAAAAUAAAAAAAUAAACAAAACCAUAAAUGGUUCAUACCUCUUAUCCUCCUCAGGGGCUGAAGCGAAGAACAUUUUUAAAGUUUGGAUGGUCAUCCCACUCCAACGAUUCCCACCAUUCUAUGUCUGACCAGAUGGUAAGAAAAGGUGGAGCAUAUGCAAAUGGCUGCCCAUUGCCAACAAGGGGAACAAAUGGAGGAAUUCUCUUCAGUUUAUCACAAUAUUCAACAACUUGGAUAAGUUGGAGAGAAUCACAAACCAUCACUCCACUUUUGCUGCAUAUGCUCUUCAAAUUUGGUAAGUUAUUUAGUCUCAAUUCUCUCAAUUUGGGAAGAUGGAAUUUGAUUAAUGCAUCAUUCCCUUUUUCUUCAACUUCUGAUGUUGCUGCUACCAAUAUUUCUACUAGCUGACUACAAGCACCCACCCUAAUAUCUUCCAGGUUUUGGAGGUUUGGAAGCAACCAAUGUGGAAGCAACGUCUUCAUACUUGAGCACCUGUAUACUUCAAUUCGCUUAAGAUGGGAAAAGGUGGCAGACGGAGCCACUGUUGAUGUUGUUGCUGAACCAAUUCCUGAAUCUUUCAUAAUAAGGGCACUCAACUUUGGCAGAAAUUGAAGAUCCAACACCUCGAGGCUCUGAAAUGGAUGAGCGGAAGAAGAGGCAAAAGAGGACAAGGAAACAACACACUCUAUCCCUUCACAAUCAUAAAUCCUACAAACCCUCAAGUCAAUCGCAUUUUUGAAGGAAGAAUUAUCAUCGACUAAGUUUCUCAAAUAGUCGCACUUUAAAAUAUACAACUCUUUAAUUUUAAUUGGGUGCAUAAUUAACUCACCUUCCCAAUUCUGGACUCCUCCAAUUGUUACUGUUUUAUCUCUUCUACGAGGAAUAAAAGCUGGGCCCACCCUAUAUGAGCCCACUUGUAAAGAGUACUUGAUGAGAUUUUUUUUACUUUGUUGCAUUGACGAGAUGAACUUAUUCAAUUCCUUGAUGUCUUCGAAACGUCCGGUAAAACACUCCAACUUCUUCAAUGGUUCCAUCUGCUCUGCUUUUAGACUUAUUUGUCUAUUAAAACCCAAGUGCUGAAGGUGAACGAGUUUUGGCAAAAGUCCAGCGGGUAUCUCCUUCAGAGUGCGCACACUAAGAUCAAGAUAUCUUAGCUUUAGCAGCAUAUCUAUUCCUUCAGGGACUUCCUCAAUUUCUGUCCCAGAAAGAUCCAACUUCUUCAAUUCUUGAAGCAUGGAAAGACAUGGUAGAUCUCUUAAUUCAGAACAACCACAAAGCAACAAUGUUGUGAGGUUCUUUAGUUCAGAGAUGGAAUUUGGUAAACUUUUGAUCUUCGUAGAGGACAAAUUGAGAACACUAAGAUAAGGCAUGUUUAUGAAGAAAGAACUUGAGAUCUUCUUUAUAGGGUUCUCUUGCAAUAACAAGGUUGUGAGCAGUUGACAUUUUGUGGGCAGCACAUCUAUGGAAAUUUCUGAUAUGGAGUUAUUCAUAAGUGACACUUUCUCAAUAUCCCGACUCCAUCGCUCCUUUUCUGGUAAUUCUUCUAAUUGCAAACCUGCUUGUAUCAUAUAUCGAGGAUUCAUUCUUGUGAUCGACAAUGCCAUGUCUCUUACUGCAUCAUGCAUCUUUAUGCAAGGUUGACCACAUCCAUCGGUAAUAUUUUCCAGCAAGCAAUUCUCUGCUAACUUCUUCAAAACAACAUGGCCCUUUUCUUUCAUUUCUUGUCUCGUACCCAUAUCAUCUAUGAAUCCCUCCUCAAUCCAACACUCAAUUAGCUCAUCUUUUCCAAUUUCAUAAUCUUCAGGAUAUAAUGCGCAAUGUAAGAAACAAUAUUUCACUUUCUCGUCCUUUAAGUGAUUGAAGCUAAAUUUCAAACGCUCUAUCACUUUAGCUUCCACUUCUUCCUCUUUUUCUAUUCUCUCUUUCAAUUCCCUGAGUGCGUUUUUCCAAAUAAGAGGGUCCUCUUCUCCUUUCAAUGUACCAGCUACGACGACAAUUGUAAGAGGUAGACCCGCACAUUCCUUGACAACAAGCUUCAGAGUAGGCAUUAUAGUUGGACUUUGAACUAUGUUAGGUCCAGCUUUAUUCAAGAAUAGUAUCAAUGCCUCUUCUUCUGAAAGGGGCUUCACUUUUAUCACCUUACAACCCAUAUACUUACAGACAUGCUCCGAACGGGUUGUCAACACCAACUUGCAGCCAUUGCUACCACACGGCUCGGGGAUCCCAACUUCCUCUAGAGAGACUUUAUCCCACACAUCAUCUAGGAUUAGAACAUGCUUUCCUGCGUUCUUCAGCAUUUCUGACAAGAUUGCUGCUCGUCUGAGCUUGUCUCCUUCUCUGGGCCAAUCUUCCUUCAACUUCAAAGCAGCUGCAAUAUCAUCUUGUACCUUCAUGACAUUGAACUCCUUUGAUAUGGUAACCCAUAUUACCCUUUCGAAUCUUUGUUCUUUUAAAAGAUCAUUGUGGAUGUGCUUCAUGAUAGUGGUUUUACCCACACCGCCCAUCCCCCAAACCCCAAUCUUGCUCACCUCCUCCAGCAUCAAACAUGCCCAAAUCUCUUUUCUGACAGCUUCCUCUCCAACUAGUUCUGAUGUUGGCAGUGGCAACCCAGCACUUGGACCAUCCAUGGCAAGACCUUCAGAGGCAUUAGGAGCGUUAUCAAGAAAUUCCUUCAUUUCUCGAGUCUUUUCAUCAACCAGCUUCCCGUUGCAAGCACGACGGAGAUAUCUCCCGUUACCGACUUUGUUUUCAACAACUUGUGCUUCCCUAAUCAUCUCUUUCACAGCUUUCAACCAAUUUUCAACUCCCUUCUUCGGUAUCUUCCCUAGAGGACGAAGAAGCUCUGCUUUCAAUUGCAGCUCUAUAUCUUCCAUUUUGCAAUUCAACUCAUCUCUCAUUCUCUUGAAGUUUCUCACAUAAUCAUUGAGCUUUCUGUGAUAUUGCAAGUAUUUACAAGCAGGAGUUCCAAGACAAUUUGCAAUGCCGAGAACAGGCUCUACGUACUCCAUUGCUAUGUCCCUGCAACGCAAUCAUAUAUAACAGUAACAGAUAAUGAAAAUCUGUGAAUGUAUUGGCUUUUUGAUAUGUCAGUGUAAACAUUAAUGCAAGUUUCAAGCAAUGGCGUUUAUUAGAUGGAGCUAUGGAUGGGUGGCAGACAGAAACAUGAUGAAAUUUGUAUAUCCAGAAUUAACCUCUCAAUUAAUAGAAAAUGCUAGAUUCAAGUGUGCAACAGAAUAUGAAGAGGUAAAAUGUUCAAUAGUUUGAGAUUUCAACAUUAUAUUGCUUCUGGGAAGCUCUUUUUGUAUUAAUUUCUAUCUAGAGUAGAUUAUGUGUGCUGGUCAUCCACUCUUAAAAUCUAAAAUUGUUGAUAAUCAGUAGAGGAAAUCAUAGCUUCAGAUCUUAUUACCUGACUUAGUGGCUGAAAAGUGUUGAGAGAAUAGAACUGAAAUUGAAGCGGUGAAGUUGACUGUCGUACAAAGCUAGCUGCUAAGAGUAGCAGAUAAUCAGAAACAACCAUUGCAAAGUCAUGAAUGAAGCAAAGAAAAGCAUGUGAUGGAUUAAGCAAAUGAAAGAAAAUUAGCUUGAAAUUUGGUGAUAGACGUUGGACAUCAAAACAAAAUCAUUGUAGUUGUCAAGAAAUAAUAUUUAAUAAUAAUAGUUGGCAUGGUAUAAGAAUGCAUAAUUAUUAUGUAUAGUUAUUCGCACCCUAUUAGUAAAUUAUUUGCAUUGUUGAAGUUGUCAGAAUUCAAUUUUGGACAAUUUCUUACAUAUGGACAUUAGUAAGAUGUGAAUAAAUCUAUUUAAACUUUUUAUAUAAGUAAGUUUAUUCAACUUAAAAUAAAUUUUUAAUUACAUACAAAUUUCUCGAUAUGCUAUAUCAUUGAAUCUAAGUUGGUUUUAAAAUUAAUUUUUUUGUCAUUUGACUGUUGAGUGGUACUUUUUAAAUUGGUAUAAUAACAAUUUUAGUUUUUAAAUUUUAUACUUUCACUCAAUUUGAUCUUGAUAAUAUAUAAAAUAGAAAUAAGCAAAAGUGUAAUAGGUUCCACGAAGGCAGAAUUAUGAUUAAGAAAUCCCAUCUUUCUUUUAGUUUUUUUUUCCUUUGCUGUUCGCCAUUAUAGUUGGCAUUAAACUAUGGGAUACCCUCCUGUUGCUAUUUCAAUUUCAAUUUUUUAUUUUUGUAAUAAACAUAGACAUGCCUGGGAGGGGGUGUUGCACCUCUCGUGAGAUUCCCUUCAAUUGCUAGUUCAAUUUCUUUUUAUUUUUAUUUUUAUAAUAAACAUACACAUGCCUGGGAGGGGGUGUUGCACCCCAUGUGAUCGAGGGUUGCAAUAACGUUACUGCGAAUGUCUUACUUGAUAGUUACUGAGUGGUUGAUGAUAACCAAUUAAAACUCAAAACAUUCUAACAUUUCACAUCAUGCGCAUGUUGACAAUUAUUUUUUAUAAUUAAACUAUAAAAAUGCUUAUCUAUGCUUUUCAUUUUAUGUUGGUCAUCCAACUAUUAAUUUUUUUCGAUUUAGUCAUUAAACUUUUCGGAAUUAAAUAUUUUAAUCACUCCAAGCUGAUUGGGCUUUCUUUUAUUGGUCUAGUAACUAAAUUAGUCCUCUAAUAGUUAUACGUUCUAUUAAUUUGAUCUUAAAUAUAAAAAAUUCAAUAAAUCUAGCCUCAAUGCUCACAAAAUUUAUCAUUUUAGUUUUAAUUCUAAAACUUAAUUGCGAUUUUUAAUUCACUAACCCCCGAUUUACUAUCCCAAUUUUUGGGAUGUGACAUGACAGCAUUAUGUAAAUAUGAUAUAAUAAUAAUCACUGAUAGCAUACAAAUAAAUUAUUGAUUACAUACCCUAUUGUAUAAACUAAAAUAUAAUUUUACUACAAGUUCUAUAAUAUGAUAUCUAAUGGGUUAAUUUUUAAAAUUGCAUAUUUUGAAAUUAAAAAAAAUAAAAAAGUUAAUUUAUAAUGAUUUCUAACUUAUAUGCUUUUCAAUGUUAAAAAUUUUAUUAGAAUUAUUAGUAAAAAAAUGCAUAAAUGAUUGAUAGCAUAAUCAUUUUAAAGACAAAUAAUUAUAAAUUAAUUAUAUAAAAGAGAUAACAUUUUGUACUUUGUUAAUAUAAAAAGGGUAAACACUUCAUAACAUAGUAAUAAAUAAAUUAUAAUACAUGAAUAACUUAUGGAUAAAAUAAUAAAGAAAUAAUAUAGUAUAAAAUUAAAUAAUUAAUAAUAUAAUAUAGUAAUAAAAUUUAUAAAUAUCAUUAUUUUUAAUGCCUAGUCGUAUAUACAUCAUUUUAAUUAAUAAAAAAUUAUAAUAUUGUAAAUAAAACCAUGAUGAUAGUUUUGUCUCACCUUAAAUCAUUUUGAUUAAAAUAUGUUUAUAUUUUAUUAAUAUAUUAAUAAAAAUGGAAUAUAUUUUAAUUAAUACAUUAUCUUAUUUAUUAUUUAUUAUAUGUUAUUUUUAGACAUUAAAUACGUGACUUCCACAUGCAUAUUCGUGUGAUAAGAUUUCUAGCGUUAUUUGAACCUUUCAGACAAUAAAAUUUUUAAUUAUUAGACUCUUGAUAUACUCAUAAAAACAAUCUACAUUUUUUUCUAAAUCUAAACCCAUUUUGGCCUAGCUCAGUCAAUCCAAAAAAUGACUCAUUUUACUGUUCAAAAAUAAUAAAAUAUUUUUAUUAAUUAAAUUGAAUUCGAGCUGUACCGUCUCAAGACAUGGAGGGGUUGAUAGCCAACUUCUAUACCAUAUUUUUUUUACUUUAAAAUUUGAAGCGAAUAUAUAGGGAAAAUUAUAAAAAUAGUCACUUUUGUUUACCUCAUAUUACAUUUUAGUCAUUUACGUUAUCGUUUUGUUACGAAGCGGUCACUCUACCAUUAAGCUUUUUACCUCCCUAACAACAGUCCUAUGUGGUAGUCCAAAUGGGUUUUAAAUGCUAACUUGGAUGUUUUACAUGACAGUCCAAAUUAAAUUUUUUAAUUAAAAACUUAUUUUCAUCCCAACAAAUGGACAUCCAAGUUGACAUUUAAAACCCAUUUGGAUUGCCAUGUAAGACUAACGUUAAGGAGGUAAUAAAGUUUAAUGAUAAAGUGAUUAUUUCGUAACAAAGAGAUAACGUAAGUGACUAAAACGUAACAUUUCAAACAUAAGUGACUAUUUUUGUAGUUUACCCGAAUAUAUAUUAUUAUAUAAAAUUUGAUAUUUAUUAAAAUUUACGAAAUAAUAUAUUAGUGUUAAAUGUGAUAAAAGAUUAUAAUAAUAUCAAAAAAAGUUUAUAACUUAAAUGUUUUAAAUGUAAGUAUGAAAAUUUAGAAGGUUAUUUUGGAAACUACAUAUAUAUAUAUAUAUAUAUAUAUAUUAGAGAAGAAUAAGAGAAUAAGAGAGGGAAAAUGUUUAAAAAGUGGAGGCAGUUUGAUUUCUUAUUUAUGCUUUUAACCUCUUCCUUCCAUCAUUCCUUUUCUCCUCUCUUUUGCACUAUCCUCCCCCCUCCUUUCCCACCAACCCUUUUAUCCUUCUCUUCAUCAACAUCAAAAAUAUACCUGAAAUUGUAUUAAAAUGGAGAAAUUUCGUUUAUAAAAUAAGAAAAUAUAAACUAAACUAUAAAUGGUUGAUACCUUUAAAAGCUUUCUAAGGGUUUCAAUAGAAAAACAUUUUUAAAGUUUGGAUGGUCAUCCCACUCCAACGAUUCCCACCAUUCUGUGCUUGACCUGAUGGUAAGAGAAGGUGGAGCAUAUGCAAAGGGCUGCCCAUUGCCAACAAGGGGAACAAAUGGAGGAAUUCUCUUCAGUUUAUCACAAUCUCCAUCAACUUGGAUAAGUUGGAGAGAAUCACAAACCAUCACUCCACUUUUGCUGCAUAUGCUCUUCAAAUUUGGUAAUUCCCAGAAUGACAACUCUCUCAAUUUGGGAAGAUGGAAUUUGAUUAAUGCAUCACUCCCUUUUUCUUCAACUUCUGAUGUUGUUGCUCCCAAUAUUUCUACUAGCUGUCUACAAGCCUCCAGGUGUAUUUCUUCCAGGUUUUGGAGGUUUGGAAGCAACCAAUGUGGAAGCAACGUCUUCAU